AGAGGUGAUGUCGGUGGUGCUCACGAAGGUGAAGACCAUUGCGUUGUCAAUGUGUUACAGGUGUCGGCACAAGUGACAUUCAACAUUACGACAAUACCGGCUUGAAUAUGGUUGAAUACUACUGAUGGUGAGUUGAAGAUUGCACGGCCUCUGAAAUCUUAAGCGUUUAUAGCAUGCGAGUCAAGAUUGCAACUUCAAUUAAGAUGGAGCGAUAAUGUCGUUGGAAUGAGCAAUGAGGGGCUAAAUACACAUUUUCCCUGUUAAACUUAUAAAUUCAAUCAAAACUGUUGCUCUAUUAAAUUGCAAUUAGAGAUCAAAUGGUCAAAAUUGACAAAAGCCACAUCAACUUUCAAAUCUGAAAUUGACAGAAGCAUUUUGACAUCUCCAUCGGAGAUACUCUCUAAAUGACAUUUAGGAGUCAUUAAAAUAAAAAUGACACUGAGAGAAGGCAAUGUCAAAUUUUCCUUACUCUCUUAUACUUGUCCAAAUAGUACGCACACCAAGCAUACUCUUUUCAAAUGAUUGUUUAAUACAUUGUAAAUAUUCAAAUUAGACAAUUUUAUUGGAGAUGAGAUUAAUUAACCAAAUUAGCAAAUGCUAUUUUUAGCCUUGUCACAAGUUAAAUUUUGAAUUUGAUAAAAAAAAUUGACAUCUUUAUUGAAGAUGCUCUAAGGUCAUGCGGUUAGAUUUUCAAUCAAAACAAAGAUAAAAGAGAGAUAUUAAUGCUCAUCCUUGUCAUAUACUCGUUCACACGAAAUUCAUAAACUACUGGAUGAAAGGAUGAAGCAAUAUACAAAGACAAGGAUUUUGGGGUCAACCAUGCAAUGGUUGUAUCAUCAACUGUAUCAUGCUUACGCGUCGAUACAGAGUAUUGCUAUAUAUGCCAUUAACAAAUGGCAAUACAGCAUUUUCUAUUUCAAUUUUUGAAGAAAGAUACCUACUAGGUAGUACUUGUACACUCUAGUACAAGACACAUUAAGAUAAGAACUGGAAAAAUUAAGUAAAAGAAAGCUACAGUUAAAACUCUCUUGAUUUUGAUCGGGAUCAAUGGAAUGCAGCUGCUGCAGCUCUUGCAUUCUUAGCUGUUGGAAGAUCCGGGGGAGGAGAUGGUAACAUAGUGAGAGCUAGGAUACCACUCAAUACAGCGGCGAUGGCUCCAACCACAAAUGCCGGCAAAUUACCACCACCAAAUAGAGCAUCCCAUGGUCCACUUGCUACUGACACUACCAUCUGCAUAAAUCGAUCAAAAAAUUCAUAUGAGAAAUCGAAAUUAAUCAUCAAAACCGAAACCUCUUCGAUCUGUUGCAUGCAGCCAGCGCGCGCGAGGUUUAUUACCUGUGGCACAACAAUUGCAAGAUUCAAGACUCCUAAAGAAAGCCCUGCAAAAUCCAGAGAUCCGAUCCAAGUUGGUCAGUUACAGCAUUGUUCUUCAUGUGUAACGUACGUCCAUAUAUGAUGCAUCUAUAAAUAGUUUGGUACUGUUGGAAACUCUACCUUGGCCUGCACCAGAAUUGCUGCAAAAUAUGGAUGCUAGAGCAAAGGGAACACUGUAGGUUAUCUGUAGGUUCAUGUAUAGAAUAUCAAUGAAGAUCGAGAUCAACAGGAGGAAGCAGAAAGAAACAACACUAUAGUUGCUACAAAACAACACACCAUAACCAAACUGGGACCAAAAAUCAAUAGACUGUAAAAGUUGGCCCAGUGCAAAUAAAUAUUACAGAGUCGACCAAAUUUGGCUGGACUCGACAGAAGCACAAGCAUUGUCAAGAAGUUUCAACACGAAACGAAACCGCUUGCUGUAAAGUCUAAACUUGUAAACAUUAAAAUAAUUAAUCUCAUGGUUUUCCCAUAUUAAUUUGAUACGGCAUAUUAAUUUGUUUCAUAAUCUCAGACAACAAAAAUACUUGUUUCAAAACUGGGACAGGUUACUGAGGUCAGUAACCAGAGAAAUGUAUUAUUAAUGAAUCAUGUAACAGACCUAAUUAAACCACCGUCCAAAUACGUGAGUAUGUCAUAUGUAUGUAUGUGUAUAUUAGAAGUAGUUGUAUUAUUAUUUGUCGCAGCUAGGUCAGAUGUAAAGGUGUGGUGAAAUGUGUUAACCUUAUCUGCAUGCGUUUGAAUAGAAACCAAAAAAUGACGCAUGUAUCACGCAGAAAUUUAUGCCCAAGCUAGAGAGAGUUUAAUUAACUGCUACUUACCGCCUGAGGUAUACCCAGGAGAGCAAAGAGAGCCAGCGCACCCGCCUUGAUACCGGCCGGGGGCGGAGGUGGCUGAGCUCCGGAGACUGAAACGGCGCCGUGUCGAGCGGACUGAGCUAGUUUGGUGAUCAAGACAGUCAUGGCCAAACAGAUGGCGAGGAGAAAGUUGACAAGGCCCCACAAGCGCUUGACCCCACCAAGGGCACGCGCCAGAAUCUCAAUCCCGAGAGAGACGCAGCCCAAGACGACGGAGUUGAGCAUGAGGCCGAGGGCACCGGCUCUGACCCCCAAGUCAUACAGCCUGCCAUUGCCGACCUCACCUCCGUACACCUCCCUUCCCAUCCAGUCAGUGUCGAACAGUAAGAAAGGGAACCAUGCAAUCCAGUUGAGGCAUGUCACCACCAACAGGAUCCACAUCGGUCUCUGCAGCUCCUUAAACGCGGCUACAAUUUCGGUGAAGAAGGGCACCGCUGGUGCGAUCUCCUCAUCCACGACUUCCGGAGUCGGCUCCGGGACGGAUGUGAGUGCGAGGAUGGUGAGGGCGAUGAGGAGAGCGAUGGAGAGGAAGAAGCAGGUUUUGAGGUUGGCGCAGUAGACGUCGCAGGCUUUGGUCAUGGUGAAGGGGAGCAUCUUAUGGAGAUGAGUGUAGGACCCGGCGGAGAAUCCGAGGACGUUUCCGACGGCCAUGAAGAAAGAGUAGAACCCGUUGGCGGUUCGCAUUUUCCUGGUGUCGGAGCCGGAGAUGUCGGCCAGGAGCGCACGGCAGGGGCCUUGUAACAUGUUGUUGGCCACGUCGAGGAUCCAGAACCCGACCACGAACACGGCGAUGGCGCGUGGCUUGGUGGGCUUGUCGAGGGAGUCGCCGAAGAGGUGGCCGAGGUCGGCGGCGUAGCCGAUGAGGAAGACGGCGAUGGCGACGAGAGAGGAGCCGGCGACGAUGAAGGGACGGCGUCGGCCGCAGCGGUCACUGUGGUAGCCGACGAUGGGUUGGACAAGCAUGCCGGAGACGGGGCCGCAGAGCCAGAUGAAGGCGGCCCAGGUGUGGGGGAUGCCGAGGAGCUGGACGUAAGGGGUUAAAAGUGAGAGCUGUAGAGCCCAUCCGAAUUGGAUUCCGGCGGCAAUGGAGGCGACCAGAAUGAUCUUUCUCAAUGGGGUUGAUGGGAUAGUCUGAGGCUCUGGCUCUGGCUCUGGCUUUGGCUUGUGGAUGGUUUCGACUUCCAUGGUUGGGUGGCAACCCUAAUUUCUUACAAGCAAGCUAGGCCGGGAUGUGGAAAAUGAAGUGAGAUGGAGGGAGGAUGAGAGUGAUGAGUGAGAUCGAGGGGUGCAUGGAAAUUUAAGGAGGGCGAGGUGGUGUUGGAUCAAGGCAACUGGCAAAGGGUGGCGGCCUUAUCCGUUUAGGAGUUAAGCGUCACAGUCUGAGACUCAUGCCAAGUGUACAAAACGCCAUUACUACUCUGUUUCCUUUCUCGGAAUUCCAGACCUUGAUACCUUCCUUCAUUUUUAUGCAGUUUCAUCUCUAAUUUCAAACUAAUCAAUAGAUUUAUAAUUCGAAUCGAAGGUAAUCUAGUUACAACAUUUUCUUGCCAUCUAUCUCAUUUGGUGUCACCAUAAAGUCUUUCCCUUUGAUGUAUAAACUUUUCUUUCUCUUUCUUUUAUCUUUUUGGACCAAAAAAAACUUUCAUUACUUUCCAUCUUAACUCUCUUUGAUUUGAGGUAAACAUGUUCAAAUUGGUGUUGGAAGUUUUAACUUAUAGAUAUAAUUAAUGGCAUCUGUAAUGAGAACUCUUACGUUCUCUUAAAGUUUAAGGUAAAUUUGUUCAAAUUGCAUUAUAUGGUAGGUAGGUGUUUAUUAUAAAAGGAUCACCUGAACGUACUGUUGAUGUUAUAUACUUUUUUUUUUUUUUCUUUUGGGAUAACCGAAUCAUGCAAUUCAAAUAUUCAUUAACAUUUGCUCAAAUGGAAAACGUUCAACUAAUCGAGAGAGUUUAACGUCCACUACUUGGAAUCCGAGCCUUUUCCUUAUGAACUUCAAGAAUUACAUACCUCUUGUUCAUCGAGUAACUCAAGUCAUUGAAGUCCAACAAUUUAAUUGUUAAUAACUUACCAGGAAAGCUUAACUGUAUAGGAAAUCACAACGAUUAAAUGCUUAUCUUUGAAUUAAUUGUCGAAUCAACCUUUCCUAUUUUUACCAGGAUUGACCAAGUUUGGCCUGUGUUUUACCCAUCAACAUUAAUACUAGUACCCUAAAUGGAUAUCAAUAUAACAUUUAACACACGUGUAUACUUUUACUUCCAAUCUGCAUACACUUAACAUUUUAGUCGCAUAGCAAUGCAAUCCGUAUACACUUAAAUUACAAUUACAAUAUUGACAACAAAAGUUAUAACAUUGCUUUUAUACAUUUACAAAUAAUUGAACCGAGUUUCCACAUCAACAACAAUUUAUUCAUAAAAUUGUAAAAAUGUCAUAGGUAGAGUAAUUACUUCUAAUCGAAGUAAAGUAACCUAAAAAUGACUCUUUAGAACAAUGACAAUAAUUUUGUUGUAAUAUUUGUAAAUGAGGGUAUCACAUACCUGUAUGCACCUAAGAAUUUUCAUUUUUGAGAAAGUAUAUAAUUUCGUUAACUUAUCUAUGGCUAGAAAAGACACGUACAUCAAGUGAUGUCUUCAUAUUAGAAUCAUACAGGGCACAAGCCGCUAGCCUAUAAACAAUAUGAAAUGAAACUAAUCGAUCUAUCAACUCUAUGAAACGUAAAAGUAGUCGCCUAAAGACCUAAAUUGAUAUACAACUAACGAACAUAGAAUUAAACAGGAAUAAUCUUUAGUCAAAUCUAGACAAUUGUAGGACUAGAUCAGUAAAUUAGAUGAAACCCCUAGAUCUACUGAUGGGCUGGGCCAGAAUCAAGCAAUUCAAAGAUGGUCAGCAACCCGCCAUGAACAAACAUACAGCCUUAUACUUAAUUCAAUGUCGUUCCAUCCCGGUCAAAAAGCCAUCAUUUCAUAGCAAAACUAAGUUGUAAUAGUUGUUCCAACAAACCAAAACUUCACCACUGCCAUCAUGACUAAACGAAUCACACUCCCCUUCCGAACACCUCCGCAUCCAAUGAAACACCGAAAAUUCUUCUAUGCACCAAGAUGUAAGUGAACCGAGCGCGCAACUAAUAUGUAAUAUUUUGAUCUGGUCAUUUACGUCGCACUACAUACAUAUAUACUAAUACCGUUAACAAAAUUGAAACCUAAAAUAUAUAGUUUCAAGUGUUUCCAACUAAGGAGGUGAGACACUAGGUCGAAGACUCGAAGAAUAUGUACUCUUAUUAUGAGUGUUUAAUUUGAUCGAAUCAAAAAUGAAAUUAAAAUGAAAGAAAUUAGGGUCUUUAAUCUUCAUUCGAUCUUCUCAUACAGUGAUUUGAGCACUUACACAUUAAUGGUGCAAGUGCAUAUUGGUGUGUAGAAUCCGCUCCGAUGAAACACAAGCUAAACCCUCUUGCAAACCGCAACAAAACUUAGUAGUUGAUCCUUGACUAGAGAAUUGAACCACAAACAAGCUAGCUAGGUACACCGUCUAGAAGCCAUCACUCCCAUCAGUUCGGCAUGUGAGUGACACUGCCCAAAAUACCCGUCCGACAACGACAUACUAAAGAAGCGCCGCCGAACGUAGAUUAAAAUUCUCUACUUUUUUUUUUUGUCUAACUGCUAGAGCGACACAAAUUUAUAGCAGUGUGUAUAUAAGGUAAGUGGUUUUGAACACCAUACAAUGUUAUUAUUGGGUUUACUAAUGCUUUGGUUGCUGAAGCUACAACAUUGCAAGAAGGUCUCCAUACUAUGUUCUUGCACCGGUUACCGGUAUACAUACAAAUGUAGUGCAUGGUUGAAGGUGAUGAUUUGAAAGUUGUGAUUGAUUGUCUUCGGAGUAAGGUAAAUAGGCGAAUACCCCAUGGUGUACCGAGACGUUAACACAAGACAUCCAUCAGCUGACUUCUUUUUAUCUAUUAUGUUGUCUAUUGACUUGUCCAUCGGGAAGCGAGUUUUAUAGCUGAUUGGUUAGCUAACUUAGCUCAUGGGCAGGGGUGGAGCCAUGAUUAUAUAUUAAGGGGGGCCGAGUUACAAAGUGAAAAUACAUAAUAUUCAACAAUUGAGUAAUUUUAUAUGAAUACAAUAUCAAAAGGUAAUUAACUUUUAUGUAUUGGACAGUUAAAAAAUAAGUUACUAAACUGGAAAGAAAAAAUGAAAUUUGGAAUUCAUUAAAUACAUAGAGAAAUAACUGAAAUGAUUUUAUCAAUUACAAAGUAUUUGUACAUAAUAGAAUGAUAAAAAAGAAAUUAUUCAUUAUGGUGAGUUGAUUAAAUAUUAUGGAUAGAGUAUAUGACAAGAGUUGAUUAAGGUAGGAGAAAUAAAUUGGAUAAAUUAAACUUAGUAACAACAAAUGGUGUUUAUAGUUUAAUAGGAAAGGAACGGGGCCAAACCUCUAAAUUAGAAAGUUUUUACAUCUAAAUGAUCUAAUUAUAUCAAACUCCUUAAUAAGUAAAGUCUAAUACACAAGUUCAAAAAAAUUACAGGGGUGCCUUAGCCUCAAUAGAGCUCCGCCUGUGCUCAUGGGUCACAGUCUCCGUCAGUUCUUGCCUAUACUCUUAGUGUGUGUCCUAACAUUCCAUCUAGAUCAUCAAAAAAAACAAAAAAACACGGUUCUUUACGCUUAAAUGCUUAAUGAAAUAUACCAAAUUGGGCCAUACGCCACCAAAAAGAAAAUAUAUAUAUAUAUAAACGUGUCUUAGAAGUUAGACCACACAACCAAUCUUGGUAAAAAAGAAGCAGCAUCACAAUUUGCCACCACGAGUAACCAUUCACGCAAAGUAGGAUCCUCUAAUUUCCAACUCCAUGAUAACCAUUAAUUGUAAUUUGUUUCUUUCGAUCGUCAGGGAGAGAAGCGGAAGGUGGAAACCUCUGGUAAGUUGGGUAAAAUAAAUACUGCAUUGGUAGUGCAUCUGAUCCUCAUACUCAAGCUGGAGGAGUGGGACUGAUCAGAAGAGAUGCUACUUGUCACUAUUUAGGUUGUGAGUACCAUUCGAUUUCACAUGUUGCUUCACUGGAACAAGUUGAAGCAAUGGCAAUCAAGGAGGGCAACCGUAUCACUCUCUUGUCACUGAGCAAGGCCUUCCUCCGGUGAUGUUUGAGACCAACUUAAUCACCUCAUACGUACCCUCAUCUUCGGGUGUGAUGACAUUACCUUUUGUCUCUAUAUAUUAGAUGAAAGUAAAUUUGCCGACCAUCUUUUACUUGCCCACCUCAAUGUCCAUCAUCUAGAUUAGUGACACAUGUUCAUUUGAUUAUCAAGAAUAAAGUCAAACUAUCUGAAGAGACAUGUGUCACUAAUCUAGAUUGUGGGUAUUGAGGUGAUCAACUAACAACAAGUAGUCGACAAAUUUGUAUCCGUAUGUGUCAUUAAUCUAGAUGAUAGACAUUGAUAAUCAAAUGGGUAUGUGUUGGAAGCGAAUUUUCCAAUUUCUUUUUACUAGCCCACCUCAAUGUCCAUCACCUAGAUCCUUAUUUUUGCUCUCAGUCAAGCUAAUAUUGUGGCUUUUAAAUUAGUUUCUCAUUUUCUAGUGUUUCAUCGCUUGACUGGAGCAUCACGCCUCCUGCUUCUAUUUAUGAUAUAGUUACAAAGAGGAUAGUUCCUUCUCGUUGAUCAGAGCAUCUCCAACAGCUUUCCUAAAAUUUCUCUAAAAUGGGGAAACAAAAGCUAAAAUCUCCAAAAAAUUAUGAUCAAAAUCCAGCAGCUUCUCCAUUUUAGAGAUUUUGGCAUUUAAUACAACAAUAAAAUAUAAUAUAUCAUCAUGAAUUAUAACAAAAAAACAUUAUAUAUUUUAUUGUAACAAUAAACUACCCAAUCAAAUAUUUUAUUGUUGUUUUAAAUUCGUUGGAGUACGUGAAAAAUUUAAUUUUGGGGAAGCAAGGUUUUGCUGCAAAUUUAGGGAAUGAAUGCUUCUUUUUCUUCUUCAUCCCCAUUUUGGGGAAUGAGACAGGGAAGUUGUUGGACCUAAAAACAACUUUAUAUUCCCUAAAAUUAAGAAGUUCAAGAAAAUGGAGAAGCUGUUGGAGUUGCUCUCAGAUUCUGGUUAUAGUCAAUUAGAAAGGUGACCAAAUAUGUAUCAGUUAUAUAUGAACUGUCUCACAAAAAAGAGUCGUGCUGGUUGGAAACGCAAUUAUAGAUGAUGCUGACGACGGUUUGGUUUGGUGGUCUUGUUUCGAACCCCAAAAUCUGCAACAAUGAAGAGACACCAGAGAUCAUCUCCUCAUUCAUUGUUGACUUUGGAGCAAGAGGUGACCACUUGCUGUUGCCCUUAUUAAAUCAUCUUUGAUGAAGGAAGAGGUGUCCAAAUGUAGUAUAGUUUCUUAUUCAUUUAUCAUGUCUUUAUAACAAUAUAUAAUAUUCGGCCGACUGAACACAUAUCAGUUUAGUUAUCUGAAAACCUGGAGAACACACACAACAACAUAUAAUAUUCGACCGACCGAACACACAACGGUUUAGUUAUCUAAAGAUGUGGAAAACACACAACGGUUUAGUCAUUGAAAUGUGCAAAAAAAUGUUACUCCAUUGGGACGGUCACUGAGUUUGACCCAAGUAUGCAGUCGAUCAAAUAAAUGUCGAAUGAAGAUGACAUUCAUAGAUUCAUUCCCGUGUAGGAAACAAAAUAUGAGAGACCCUGUGUGUAUCAUAUAAAGAGUAUAGUGUAUACUAUAUAACUUCAUAUAUCUUCCCCUGCAACCAUAAGUUUCAUAUUUACAAAAUGCAACUGGUCUCACUCACUGGUUUCCAUCUGAUCAAAACUCAUGAAACACCUCCCUUGUGUCAAAUUUAGAGCGCCUAGCAGGGAAGAUUAUCUUUUACACACACUGAAGAUUAGAAAGAUGGACCAACACAUACUAGUAUUGAUGUGUGCAACUUAGAGCCUGCGCAUUGUGUCAACUCCAUCAAUGACAUCCAAGAACUUGACCCAGGUGAUAUCGGAGUCUAUUGGCCUGGACAACAGAUUCUCAAUGGGAAGUUUAUCUUUUGCUAGGAAUUCUCUGCUACUCUUACUCAGCCUGUGGUGUUUGCUUAACCUGCUGGCCUUUCCUGCGUCAAAAUUCUGACUUUUACUUGUUCCGAGCCUGAUGUUGUUUGUAGACACAUCCUGAAGCAUCUCCUGAUCUUCAGCUGUUAACACAUUCGUCCUCUGGUUGCGGGUUUCAACAGGUGACGAUGGCAUUCCACCAUGGCCAACCCCUGCCUGGCUGAUCAGAUAGUGUAGCAAGACUACUAGUUCACAAAUAUAAGCUUCAGUUUUUUUCUCAUUGGCAAUGGUGUAGAGUCUCAAUCCUCAGAGUAUCAGUCAAGCCAGUGCGCCAGCUCGCCUCAAACCUAACAAGAUGAAUUAGAAAAGUUCAAAGAAUAUAUGAAAACAGUUACAGAUAAACACACGAGAGACAUAUAUAUAUAUAUAUAUAUACACACAGGGCCCUUCCAAUGAGGGAUCCCUAUUUUAAGCCAUUUAUAGGGAUAUGGCAUUACACCAACUUCCCGAUUAUAAUUUUACAUCUCCACCGUUCAUAUCUUAGGUCUAUAUGAGUAGAUCACCUCUACAAAAUUUCAUAUGAUUUGGUGAUCGUUAAGACUUUCAAAAGUUCAAUUUAGUUUUAAUGACCUUCAACGGUUUUAGUUUGACAUAAGCUGGACCGUNNNNNNNNNNNNNNNNNNNNNNNNNNNNNNNNNNNNNNNNNNNNNNNNNNNNNNNNNNNNNNNNNNNNNNNNNNNNNNNNNNNNNNNNNNNNNNNNNNNNNNNNNNNNNNNNNNNNNNNNNNNNNNNNNNNNNNNNNNNNNNNNNNNNNNNNNNNNNNNNNNNNNNNNNNNNNUGUGUGUGUGUGUGUGUGUGUGUGUGUGUGUGUGUGUGUGUGUGUGUGUGUGUGUGUGUGUGUGUGUGUGUGUGGGCACGCUGAAACACUCACCUUGCAUUUGCCCAUUCUCCAACCCAUCCAAAGCCAUGAAGAGCUCUUCAAUAACAAAAUUACACUUGAAAUCAGUGAAAUUGAAGUAACAGAAAUAUUUGUUAACAAUGAAAUGGUCAGACAGAUAUAAGCAGGAAGAAAAAGUCCCCAAUAAACUACUUAAGAACUGAUCAUGGAACCAAAAGAAGUCUUACAUAACCAAGGAAGGGUAUUUUCACUGUCAGCAAUUUCAUGUUAGAAAGGAAAGCUAAGUGACAACAUUUUUCUUCCAUUCCACAUUAUGGCCCAUGGACACAUACAUUGAUAAGAAUUUUCCAGCUGUAGGGGAUUACAGGUUUAUUAGUAAGGGUUAAUUGCAAUUCAAUACAUGUGUUUUCAGUCAAACAACCCCUAUUAACUUACCAGCCUCAUGCAAAUAAAUUUUGACAAACAGCUCCUAUGAGCGUCACCUGUUUCUAUUACCUCUUGAGGUCGAGUACAUGGGGAUGGGGAAAUAAAUGCCCGGACAUUCAAAAUUAAGGGUUUUUUUAUUUGUUUGAGAAGCAAAUUAAGUGUUUUCAAUCUGCAUUGCGAAUAUUACUCUUCGGGCGAAAGAGUCAUUUACCAUUUCAAGGAGCAGGAAAGUUAACUUUUUACCAUUCUAUCACCCUACAUGUCUGUGCGCCCCAGAACCAAGGUUUGGCUUGCAUGAGGCCGGUAAGUAACAACACGAGGGAUUACUAAGGAUGCAAAAUUGCUGAACUGAAAUUGCAAGGUAGAAAAACAAAAAACAAAAAUAUAACCAACUAAGAAAUAAAAUAAAAAGCGGGUGCUAGAUGUUUCCAAGCCCAACUAAAGAUUUGAUAUAAGGUAGCGGUUUUACUUUGUUGUGUUAGUGGCAAUGGGAACAAGCCAAUCCAAAGUUCGCUUCAUUUCAGCUUUGAUUUGAGGAAUGGUGAGCUGCAAGAACAUCAUAUUUAGAGGUAAAGUUCUGCAUAAAAUGACGGAAGGAAAUUUCAUUUGGAACAACAUUGCUACAAAAAAACAUCUAUGAAGAUAGUAACAUUCUAAUUGGCAAUCAUAUACAGAAAGCAUACAACUCAACCUCAACUAACUGAAAUUUUGAGCGCAGAGCUGACUUGACACUGCAUGGUAGUCCCUCAUACAGAGUAUCUAUCACACUUUGAGGCACUAAACUUGAUCGAGACACCUGGUUACAUUUAGACAUUACUCAGCAUAAGGUCAUGAUCUCUAGGAUUCUAUAUUUUGCAUUGCCUGAAUCUCUUUUAACUUAUCAUUUUAAUAAACAUUGAUCGUGUCUGUAUUAUACUAGACUUUGCAACAAAAAUAUGAAAAAUCAUUCUUAUAUAUACCAAGAAUAAACCGUAAUGGGCAAUCUAGACCUUGUAUUCUUAUAAUACUUGGAAAAGUUAUAUUUACAGAAAAUAAAACAAUCAUGUUUCUCAUAGAUUUAUGACCCAAUGGAGCAAGACAGUUCAGGCACAUUCAGGUGAUAGACUAUAAAGGAGGCAAUUUAAAACAUGUUUCAACUGAAAGUGGUAAACCUAUAUCAUACUAUAAAAAAUAAAAAAACCGGUAAAGGCAAUAGCAGAGGAUGAAUCUAAACUUACAAGUGUGUUAAUUUGCGUAAUAAUAUGUGCGUAGUGUAAGGAAGGUCCAGUAGGCCCCAACCUUUUACAGUUACUCUGAGUACGUUUCACUGGUUCAUCAUCAUCUGCAAGGGGGAGGGGUAGACAUCAGGAAGCUUUCCACAUAUCAUGAUCACCUUCAUCUACUUAAAACACUUAAAUCUAUUAUCUUCUGUUUGACGAAACAGCAAUAUGAGAAAUGAAUAUCUGAUUCGAUGGUAAUAGAUUCUAUGAACGACUUUCUUGUGGUUCGAAUAGAGCACUGUCCUAUCAAAGCCUUCUAGAAAGUAAAUGAUAACAAUGGUGGCCUUUAAAAUGAGGAUAUAAAAUUAUAUUAAUCAUGAAUUCAUAAUAAAGGAAAUUAGAGAGUUCCUGGUCCAUAAUUGAAUGCAUACCAGGACUUCCAAAAGCUUCAUGAAUCUUUAAGUGUAAUAAUUGUACAAUGUCAACAAGCUUCGGCAUAACCUGUAAUCACAAGAUAUUAGAUAAUAAUUCCAUGGUUGUUUUGUUUUUUCUUUUUUUGGUAAAACUGGUUGUUUUUUUUUUUUUUAAAUGAUUGAUUUAUCAGGUGAAAGAUUAACUCACCCCAUUACUUCAUGAGAACAUGCAUAAUGACUAAAAUUUUCAGGAAACAGAGAAAAUCAAUUAACCUCUAUAUUCCAAUAUUAAAUUCUACAGCACUGUACAUUUGAAAUCAUUAUUUUCCUGUGGUCACAAAGGCAGAAGACAUUUUCCUCAACUGCCAAUGGAAAUGACACACAAGGGAAGAGGUAUCGAUCAUAUUAUUUUCUUUUUCUUUUCUUUUUUGAAGGAAAAUUAAUUGAGUGGCAGAUUUGUAACUGAGGUUUUGUAACAUUUGCAAACAAUAUAUACCUUUUCUUCAAGCUGGUGCGAACAUUUUAAUAUGGGUUUUAUUGGGUAGGUUUGUGCUCUAUGAUUUUUCUGUAAACUACUUUUGAUAAGAAAAUAGGUAUAUUGCAGUCAAUAAUUAAAUGAAUACUGAGGGUCAGUAACCUGUUGCAGAAAUAAUACUAAGAAAAAGAUAAGAAAUUAGGUGGUCUUUUCAGGUAUAGCUGCUGCCAAAUCUUCCGUAAGUGAAAUUUUCUACAUAUUCUAUGCAAAAUGUGCACAUAUUGAACCUAAAAAGACAGCUAUAUGAAGGAAUCACAAUUUUUACCUCUUCCAAAGUCUUAGACCAAAGUGAAUUUUUCUUUAAACUGUUUACAAGCUUCAUUUGAUUCUUUAUAUCUGCUUUUAAAAUCGCAAGGUUGUCUCCUGCACAUGAAGAAAUUAUGUGAACCAUCAAACAAAAGUAUACACAAGAGGACAAUCUUCUGGGCUGAAGCAAAACCAACAGCAGAAAUUUGAGGUAAAAUGGUGCAUAAGCCAAGCCAAACAAAUACAAACAGACUAGUUCCAAAAAAUUGAGUGCAUUUAUCAUGAAAAUCCUAAUGGACUCGGCAACUAGACUGCACCAGCUUGUUAGGAUAUCAGUGCUUUUGAAGUUUUCAGAAACCUACCAGCAGCUGCAAAAUAGUACUGUAUGUGACAACAAUUAGAAACAACUCAGAUGGAAUUAACCAAAGUCCAAAGACAAGGUUUACCUCUUCUUGCAGUAACUGAACUAUCUUCUUCAAGCUUAUGCCGAUAUUCUUGUUCCAAUCUAUCCAACGAAUGCAACUCAUGACACAGUUCCUGAAACCAAGAAACAAAGAUGAAUUUCCUUCAUUAGUGUUCAAAGGAAAAAUUCUUCCGAGCUCAGCUUAUCCACUGCAGUAUUCGUUCAUCAAUGCCUGUUCUCUACUCAAUUAUCUUGGAUCCACUGACUCCCAUAAUCUUGGGUUCUUACUAUUACAAAAACAUGAAAAGAGCAGUAUCUUAUGGUUCUGAUGAAGUUCCUGCCAACAUUUUUCUAUAAAGCUUGGGAAAACACCAGAUACACUUGAUUGGCGUCUAACGAUGCAAGAUUAAUAAUGACAAGAACUUAUCAGCAUUAAAUAGCAAAUCUUCUGCAGCUGAGUAUAAUGAAACAAGAUGCAUCACCACCGCUCUUCUACAACUUCAAUAAAAAAAUAACACCCAACUAAAAACUGGAGUAAAUGUCCACAAAGAAGAAAACAAUAAAUGGGUGUAUAUUGCUAUUAAUUCAAGGAGAGCUCCAAGAAUCAGAAAAUGAAUAUGUUCUCCAAUCCAGUCCUUUUAAGUGACUUAAAAGGUUAGGUACCAAUACAAAAGAUGAAGUGUGUACGGUGCAUACCCAUUUUCCGAAAAGGUCAAGCAACAAAUUUGUUUUAUCAGACUGUCUUUAAAAAUAAAAAAAUAAAAAUAAAAAAAUAAAAAAAAAACAAUUGUCCCAAACUGGAUAAACAUAUUCCAGAUAUUCAAAACUAAACCAUCAACAGAUGCAACUGUAACAAAGAGUGUAGCAUUUCCUAUAGUUAAUGUGCAAAAACUCACCGCGGUUGACUGAACUAAAUUUAUCAAAUAUUCCAUCCCUCUCUCUGCUUGCUUCUUCAAAUGAGUUUGUUCAGUAACCUUCGAGCCAAUCCUAUUAUAAUGAAAAUAAGAAGAUUAAACAUAUCUGAUAAUAGCGAUCCAAGAAAGUGAGUCAAAAUAUUGCAUUAGUAUUACUUGCUAAAAUAGCGAUCCAAGUUGUGCCAUAUUGGAUCAUAAGUGCGAUUUCCAAAACGUACAACAUCUCUGAUAAAAAUUCUCAAUUCUUCUCUGCCAUAAAUUGUGAAGGAGAAAGUCAUUAUUUUUCUACGAGGAUGAUCAAACAAUAAUUGAUACUCUUACCCCAGAAACAACUAAAAUGUGAUGCUGAUUAUGGAUCACCUCUUGUCAGCAGCGGCAAUUCUGAGGAGCUCAUCCAUAUCAGUAGAUAUUAAACUUUGCACCCCUUUGGAUGGGAGCAGCACCUCUUUUAAAUAUCUGAUAUUAUCCUCUGACAGGGACUGCAUUAGCUUCACACCCUUGACAAUUGAGUUUGCAACUUCAAAAGCCAAAAUUGCAAUUGUAUUCCCUUUUGUUUGCACCUCAGAAUAUAAAGUGGGGUCCCAAUUACUGAUGCUACUGCCGAACGUGUCCAAGAUAUCCAUUGCCUUUCCAAACCCAGUCGAGCUAGCUUUACCUAAAAGAGAGCUUACUGCUGAAACCUAUAGUAUGAUAAUGUUACUUAUAUGUUAACAACAGGUGGAAUUUGCUAUAUUCCUAUCAAAACUGAAGACUGUGUUCUGUAUUUAUAAUGUACACCCAGAAGAGCAGUUGACUGCAAAAUUUGCUAUCAGAAAUGCAGAAGUACAAGUCUCAGUUCGGUGUAUGAUUUAAAUUGCACUACAGUUUGUUACUCUAUUUUAAUUUAUUUUUUUGGGGAACGAAUGAUUCCUGUAGCAAGCUGCUAAAGCAAUUGUGAACCAAUGUGUAGCUACUCUAUUUUGGAAAAAUUAACAUUGACUAUAACGUAAUCUUGGUAUGUCUCUUUUUCACAAACUUAUAAUCAAGAAAGGCUACCAUUAUAUACGUCUUUAACAUAUUAUAAAAAAUAAAAAAACAAAACACCAUAAGUAACAGAAGUUUCAGAAUGUAUCUGUAAAUAUUACUUUAGCAACAGCGGCCUGUUUAGAGAAGCAAGCAGCUCCAUCAUUGAUAUCAAUUGGAUGUCCAUUUGUAAAUGGAAACCAAUUAGGAUUAUGAUCAUAUGCUCUUGGGCCAUUACUAGCAUGAUGGUAAUUUAUAGCUACAGUGAUAUCUUCUACUUUGGGCGUCCGUUUCACCUUGUUGCGAAUCCCACCCAUUACUGUAUGUGAAACACCCACAAGCUGUAUCUUGUUGUAGGAAACCAGAAUCGCCAAACCCAGAAAUGAGACUUUUGAGAGAGAAGCUUGGCAGGGAUGAAGAAAGACGGAGAUGGCUCGUUUGGGUUCGCGCGUUUACUUUUCUUUCUUUCCAGCUGUUGAGGAGAAAAGAUUGUUUUUGGUCAACUCACGAUUCUAGAGUAGACAAACCUAGGUUUUUUUUUUUUGAAAGUUAGACAAACCAGGUUAAGCAAGCUCAAUUUGUUCCCGAGUGGGACCCAUCGGUUCGUGCGCUUGCGGUGGUGGGACCCAUGUAGAUCCAUGUCAGUUUAAAUAAAAAUGGAGUUUGGUGUGUAACUUCAAAACAUAGAUAGUGUUGGAUAGGAGACCUACAUUGGUUGGUUGAAAUGACCAAGGCACCCUUAACAUUUGCAUCAGUGUCAUUACACUAGUGUACAUGAGUUAAUAUACUCUCUUGAUACAAAGGGAUCCAUUGUAAAAAGAACCACCAAUUUUUACUGGUUUUAAAAGCAAGAAAAGGGAUACCUUGAACUUUCAAUUAUUAUUUGAAUAUUCUGUACAUACACAACACUAAGGAAACUAUAACUCAACAUGCUUUUCCAUUUCCACAUCUACAGAGUUUGACUUACAUUGAAUACACUUACCUCCCUAGAUUUUAACAUUCAAAAAGCCAGUGAUUUAUCACUCAGCAUUUGCUUACUAACACAACAUCACCCUUGCCACAACCUGAGAGCCGCUUCCAAGGAAAAAUUGUAGCAGUUGGACCUAUUACACAUACACAUGGAGACUUCGCACGUCUGCCAAUCCUCAAAUACUUCGAAUUGUGUCCACUCGAUCAAUGAGAUCCAAUGCCUUGCUCCUGUCAAUAUCAAAGUCAAUGACAGGUACGGAAGAGGGCCUCCUUAUGGGAAAAGGAUCUUUCCUUCGCUCACUUGUUGGAGAGUGGCUACUACUUUUACUUAACCUAUGGUACUUGCUGAACCUCGUCCUUGCAGUGUCAAAUUCCUGACUUUUACUGAUCCCCGGUGUCAGUUUUCUCUUACUUACAUAUCUUAGCAUUUCUUGAUCUUCAACCGUUAAUACAGGGGAUGGACAGUUGGCCUUGUUUAUAGAUAACUGAAUUGUCCUCUGGUUUGGGGAGUAAAUUGGGGAUUUAAUAGGAGAUCUGAUUCCAUUAUUUCCAACCCUCACUUGGUUGACCAGAUGAUGUAGCCACACCACCAGCUCAAGAAUGUAAGACUCUGUUUUAUUUUUAUCAGCAUGGUGUAGUGUCUCAAUCCUCAACAAGUCAGUCUGACCAGUAGGUUUUCGGUUCAUCUCAGACCUAAAGAAUUAAGAUCUGUUAGAACUACCAAAACAUGACAGAGCAAUAAAUAAAUAUAUAAAUAAUUAAAAGCCAUCUGCAAGUCAGAACUCACCCAGUGUUUGCCCAUUCUCCGACCCAACCGAAGCCAUGAUGAGCUCUAAAUGAACACAUAGUGAAAAGCAACACUCAAUAUAUAGAACUAAAAACUUUGAACAUAUUUGAAUCAUAAAUGAUAUAGAGGGCACAGUAAUAAAAUUUGAUCUACGUUAAUAUUAAUUGGAAAGAACUAGAGGUGAAAAGCUAACCCAGAAAACAAAACAAAACGAUGACAAAUAAAAGUAGAUAAGCAGACAAAAUGGAGCUUUACUUGGUGGUGUUAGCAGCAAUUGGAACAAGCCACUGCAAAGUUUUCUCCAUUUCAGCUUUGAUUUGAGGGACUGUGUGCUGUGAGAAUAGCGUUUGAAGAGAAUAGUUAUAAACCAGGACAAGGAUGAGGAAAAAAUUGACAGUCAACUGUGAAGUGGAGAAAUAACAUGAUAACGAUAAUAUAACUUUGGUUAAUUAAUGUCCUUGAACUGCAUACACUACAGAUACCUCUUCCUUAACCUGAAAUGACUGUAGUUUUGAGCGCAAAGCAGACUUUAUACCAGGAGGCAGCCCUUGAUAUAACGUAUCUCGUGUGUUUGGAGGCACAGAACUUGACCGAGACACCUGGUUACAUUCAAAUGUUAAAUCAUAAGACCUUGACCCAGUAUAAAGCCUAUGUUUCCAAAAUGUUAAUCAACAAGAAAAAAAUUGAACUGCAGACUGCAGAGGAUUGGUUAUUGAACUUGUGAAAAAAAAAAAAAAAAACUUUCAUCAUAAUCCAGAAAAUUACAAUAACCAUGUGUUUAAACUGUUCUGAAAAACUGAAGUGGACACAACGCACUCUCACUGUCAUAGUUAAGUUGUUGUACCACUCUUAUGUAGACCAUAAUAAAAAGUCUAGAAUGGUAAACUUUCUAGCUUGUAGUUAAUAAAUGAUAAUAUCACCUUUCCUUCUCAAUUAGCAGAGGACUAAAAGAUUAAGUUUGGCAAGAUAAUAUGUGCGUAAACAAGAAGGUAAGAAGGAAACACGGAAGGGACAAGUUUAGUAGCACACCUUUUCCAAAUUUCCACCAUACAAAAAAAAAAGUUUGCAGUGCACAAGGAAAACACUCACGAGAGUAUCGAUUUGUGUGAUAAUAUUUGCAUAAUGCAAGGCAAGACCCGCAGACCCCAACUUUUUGUGAUGGUUUUGAGAACCUUUCACAGCUAUAUCAGUAUCUGCAAGACCAAACAAAGAGAUACAUCAGAUAAUAGUCAGUCAAUGCAAGAUCAAGAAUUGCAAUAGAGAAAUGAAAUUAUAGGCAGUAACUGGAGAUUAUAUGAAGAGAUGUUAGCUAUUUAAUUUGGAGUAUUGAGGGAGUAAUGGCCUUAUCCUAUAAAUUCUGGUGGACUUUAAUGUACGGUUUUAGAUCCUUUAGAAACCACAAAAAGAGAACAAAGCUGUCUACCCGUGUCAUUACAUACUCCCAACAUAAAGAUGCUUCUCACUUUGUAUAAGUGAACAAGGUCAACAUGAUUGUUUGCAAUCCAAGUCCAAUUGAAAUUUAUUUAGAAGGUAAAAACUAAAAUAGAAAGCCAGAUCUACAUCAUAUUUUUAUCAACAUCCUUUCCGACUCCCAAGGAGAAGUAGAAAGCAUCCUAGAAGACAACUGUCUAAAACUAUCCAAACUUUUGAAGCAUACCAGCAACACCAAAUGCUUCAUGGAUCUCCAAAUGCAAGUAAUGCACAAUGUCCACAAGCUUCUCCAUGACCUGAAAAUAGGAGAUACAAGAUUGGCUGUGAGAACUUGAAGAGAAAGCUUUUAACAAAAAAAUUUGCUCAACGUACCCUCCCAAAUUUAAACACCCUGUGACUAAUGUAUUUCUCAGAAACUGAAAGAACAAAUCAUUUAAAAAGACCAGCUGGGGGAAAUGAUAUUUUCUAAUGAGCUUCGGCAUCAAUUUAAGUUUCUUCAUCAGUCCUUUUUAGUAAUUUUCAAGAGGGUAUUUUCUAUUUUCUUAUUAAUGUUCAUUAAAGCAUGGAUAGGUGAAGUAAAUUUCUGACUGUAAAGAAAAGCUCCCACAGUUUUAUCACGUGAUUAUAGUUCAAUUGGAUUGGAAUUGACAGCUGCGCUGUGAGGCCAACCAUAUGGUAAAUAUCCAAUAUGAUAUUUACCUUCAAACAGUCAGCACUAAAGUCAAUUAAAAAAAGAAAAUGUAUCAUAACCAAGAUGAGAUAGACGAAAAAGGAAAAUUAGCUUAAUACCUCUUCCAGAAUCCUAGACCAGAGUGAUUUUUUCUUCAAACUUCUCACAUGCUUCCUUUGACUCUUCAACUCGGCUCUUAAAAGUGCAAGACUAUCGCCUGUGUCAAAAUACAGACACAACGAGAUAAAGUUACUUGAUAGUUAUAGUUUCAUGGAAUCAUGGCAUGCGAAAAAAGAUGUAGUAAAUUUCAACAAAACAAAACCAGGCUAAUCAUCGGAAUAAAAGAUGCAUUGACUUGGACAACCCAACAAGAGCAAUGUUGAGUCCCCCAGCCGGGAAAAAAAUAAUAAAAUAAAUAAAGCCUCACAGAAAAUAGUCAAUUUGCUAACUGCAUUUCUCCAGACAAGAUGAUAUUUCUAUUAUUAUUUUAAUUUAUACUAAAAGUUGUCAGAACUGGCAGUAAAUUUGACUUCGUACAGACAAAACACUAUCCAUUUGGACCAUCGGUAUGAUUAUACCCAGACAUACCAAUGGCUUCCCUACACAAACACACAUACACACCAGAUAGAUGGCACCUGUACCCAGAAUAAAUGGCAGAAAGAACCAAAAAGAAUGUUAAUACAAGUUACCUUUUUGGGUGGUAUUGGAGUUGUCCUCCUCUUGAAGUUUCCGCCGAUAAUCUUGUUCAAAUCUGUCCAAUGCGUGCAACUCAUGAUAUAGUUCCUGUAACAAGAAAGAGGUGCCUUUCCUUCAGUAAAUCUCCAAGGAAUGUAUCGGUCAAGUAGUAGGUUUCCAGUUGGAAAUAUUUAAAGCAAUACAAGACUUGUUUAUCUAUCAAAAACAGAAAGAAAAAUAAUUACAAAACAGGUAGGGAUUUCAUAGAUCACACACAACACGGAGCAAUCAAACAAGCUAUUGAACGUGUGGUCGACAAAGUCCACUGCUACAUUCCCAACUACAGUAUCCACUCAUCUUUGUGCUCCCUUCCUGCUAUAAAGCCUUCCAACUACAAGCUCUUUCCAGCACACUCAGUCACUAAACUUAGGUACAGACCAUGAAAUUUUAAUCCAAUCUCGUAUACAAUAGACUUCCUUAUCUGGAGACAUGAAAACUGCAAAUCCAUAUAUGCAGUUUUAAAUUACUGGCCCUCAAAUUUGAUAAAAUACCAACUUUUAUGAUGUCUUGCCUUUUAGGUCAAGAAGGGAAGAUUGCCGAGCAACAGAACCAAGGAUUUUGGUUCAGAAGGUACAAGUACUAGGUUCAACAGUUCAUCAGUUUUAUUCUCACCACAAUGUCCAUUGAAGAGCUGAAAUUCAUGAAACAUAGCAUAAUUGAACAUUCCAUACAAUUUACUGGAGAAUACAAUUUAUAAGAUUGGAUGAGGAAAAAAUUUUAACUAUGUUUUUCUUUUGCUCUCGAUCUUUUGUUCCUUUUACCAUUUGCAAAGAGGCUCAUUUUAUUGCUUACAAUUUCUUCUGAAGAGAGUACAGGGUGCAUCAGUCUCUCUCUCUGCCCUCCACCCCCAACCCAUUAACUAUCAGAAGAGCUUCAAGAACCAGUUCAAAAACGGUUUUGUCUCCAAGCUGAAACACAUCAGGCUCUCUGAACUUGCAUAUUCUUAAACUUUUGUGCUACUCAUUCUUUCAUACUGGAAUUAUCUAGGGACAUAAGAUGAUCUUGUAGAAUGAGAAGUACAGCUGCUACGAGUGAAGAAGAAAAUUUAAGUUUAGGAUUUCCUAGAGUGUCGAAACAAAAAGAAAUGCCCUCUCGGUCUAUAUACUCAACAUCUACAGGUAUUGACUAUUUGAGUCUGCAUUUGAUUUAUAGUUAGUCAAUGAGGAAUGCUUACUAAAACGAUACUUAAUGCAUCUGCAAGCUGCAAGAAUGAAGAGCAUCCUUCGCAACAGAAUCUAAUUUAAUCAUGCAGCAUUGUGAUGCAGCUCAACAACAAUACAAUUCACUACUGUAAUAAAAAACUUCAUACCAACCUUCGACGAAGAUCAAUUGGUUAUCUGUGGGAAGCUAGUUAAUUUUUAUUGACUUCUUAUAAUCGCUACAAAACCUCAUCUGCAUCUAUGGAUUACUGAUGAAUUUCAUUCAGCUUCUUCCCUUGUUAUAUAGGCAGACAAAUCUUAUUUCACAAAGGUGCAAUCAAUCCAAUGACAAUCAUAUACCCAUUUGUUUUCCCAGCAGAAAGAAUAUACUAAGCCAAAGAAAAUAAAAUAUAUAUAUAUGUGUGUGUAUAUGUACACGCCAGAUCAAGAGCGGACGUCCGCACUGGCCUUAAAGUGCGGACGUCCAUCCGUUCUCCACCCUCUGGCGCCGGCGACGGCACACCUCCACCCCAAAAGACUCCAGCAGCGUCCCCGACCACUUUCCCUCCCCGGUGAGUCCGUUCUUUUCCAGUUUUCCGGCGAGAUCACCCAAAACUUCAAACAAAGUCGAUCUCGCCGGAAAACUGGAAAAAAACGGACUCGCCGGGGAGGGAAAGUGGUCGGGGACGCUGCUGGAGUCUUCUGGGGUGGAGGCGCGCCGGCGCCGGCGCCCGGAGGGUGGAGAACGGACGGAUGUCCGCACGACGUCCGCACUUUAAGCCGAGUGCGGACGUCCGCUUCUGAUCCUCUCUAUAUAUAUGUGUAUAUAUAUAUAUAUAUAUAUAAACCUCUAGAAUAACAUGGUGCAGGUUGUUACAUGAACUCUAUAUAAAUAUAAACCUUUAGAAUAACAUGGUGCAGGUUGUUACAUGAACUCUAAGACAAGUCACUAAUGGACGCAAGUGAAAGAGACGAGCAUUCUCUUUACAUGCAUUAACUUACAGCUGUAUACUGAACUAAGGCCAUUAGUUGUUGCAUCACUAUUUCUGCAUCCUCCUUCAAUUGCCUCUGAGGUGUAAGUUCUGUACCCAACCUAAAUAUAGCACAGGUGACCAGCAAAUUCUGAGACGGAUUAAAUUGAGUAUAUACUAUUAAAACAAACAAGAUAUGUUAAACUUACUUCUCAAAGUAGCGAUCCAAAUUGUGCCACUGAGGAUCUUUACAACGAUUUCCGAAACGCACAACUUCUCCCGAAAAGACACUGAGUUCUUCUCUGCCAGGAUGUGACAACAAAACCAUAAAUUAUUCUCAUGUAUUAUUAUUUGAAGAUCACGGUAAUAACAAAGACAGCUUUUCUGAUCAUCCAGAAAAUUAUAGAUGGAAAGGUUUCACUGCCAACCUCUUGUCAGCUGCAGCAAUUCGCAGGAGUUCAUCCAUAUCUCUCGAUAUUAAAUUCUGUACCCCUUCGGAUGGAAGCACAGACUCUUUCAAAUGUUUGAUGUUAUCCUUUGAAAGGGAUUGCAUUAGAUUUGAACCCUUCACAAUUGUGUUUGCAACUUCAAAAGCCAAAAUUGAAAUUUUGUUCCCUUUUGUUGUCACUCCAGAGGUAAAACCACUACUAGGAUUCAGAUUUGUCAUGCUACUCCCAAGGGUGUCCAACACUUCCACAGCCUUCCCAAGUCCUGCAGUACCAGCCUUGCCCAGACGUGAGCUCACUUCUGAUACCUGUAAUCAAGCAUAACAAAACAAACAGAUAAAUCUACAAGUAACAAAAUUGAAAAAAUAAAGAAAUAAGAAUUUGUUAUUAUAGGUAUUUAGAAACAAAGCAGUACCAUUUACUUCACUACUGAUUCAAUUUCUACUUUAAACACCAACCACCAAAAUCCUAAUGUUGCCAUAUCUAUUACAGGAGAAAUUUAAAACAUCUAACCACUAACUUGAGGACUUACGUAUCAUGAUUAGAUCGAAUAUGAAUGGUGAUACACACAACCACAUAGAUGGUUUUCUCAACUUCAGUUCUCAGUAGGUUGUGUACAUACAGAAUUCCUUUUCUGGGAUCCCUAGUCAAAUAGUGGCAGGGUAAGUUUUACUUAUUCAUACAGAUCAGUUUUUCUCAUUAGAGUGUAGAAUCACCCUUAUGUUAAACUCAGGUGUGUGCGGUAAAAACCAGAUGAUGUCUUCUAGUCUAACGUUUCACAAUAUAAAGUGCACUAUAAGCGCCUAAGCUCAUUCUAAUAGAGCCACUAUUAAAGAGUCCCAGUCCCAUCAGAACUCACUAUCAGCGGCUUGUGGUUCCAAUGCUAUAGAAAAGAAGAUGCAGCAUCCAAUGACCAUUCAUACUGUUACGGAAAAACAGGUAUUACAAAGCAACAUAGGCAAGAAGAAGAAGAUAAUAACAUGUGAGGCAUUAGAAUUACCUUAGACUUGGUAGCUCUACUCUUUUGCGAUAAGGCUCUAGACAAAUGAGGAAUGCCGUCAUUGACAUCAUCCGUGAUCAUUCCAUAAGGCACCAUAGUAUUGGUCUCCGGCACCAUGAAAGGGUCUCGUAAUUGCUUAUCAGUAACCGGUGACGGUGUGGAGUUUCUGUUUACUUUGGCAGGCACGCCGGCAGAGACAUGUCCAUUAACAUUAGGAAGGAUUCCGGUGGAAGCAAUAUUAGCAGCGACAUCCUCAACAGUGGAUCUCCUCGACUUGGAGCAAAUCCCACCCAUUGUGAUGAUAACCCACCACCAAGUAUAUUUAAUGCAAGAUUCAAGUCAAAUGAGAAGCAUCCCUGUAAAACAAGAAUGAUCUACUCCAAAGUCUUGAAUAUAGAAACCACAGUAGCCAUUCUGAUCAGUGUUGGAUUUGCAGUCCAUCAACUCAGGUCCAGGUAGCUGCAAUACAGUGAAGACCCAUUACUCAAAAACACUAGAAAGCAGCAUUACAAGUAGAAUAAGGAUGAAAUCUGCAAAACCCAGCUGGGAAUUUCAGAUUUUACAACCCAAGACGAGUAUGAGAGAGAGAGAGAGAAGACUUACAGUUGGAUCUGUUUUGCAGGGAGAUAGAUGGACGAGGGUGCCCGAUUGGGAGUGUAAAGACAGGAGAGAGAGCUGAGGAAACCAAAAAUGAAAAGCAACGCCUGCAAAUUGUAAACAGGAACAACACAGUGUGUCUAGUGAGAGAGAAGACUGGGCCUUUUUGUUUCAACUCUCUUCUUUUCUUGUGUGGGGUCUGGUCAGGUCAGGUCAGAGGUAACUUGUGGGAGCAAAAGAGUGUGCGGGAGAGGAGGAGGAGGUAGUCAAAGCCCCAACUCCGGUCACCCACUGCCCUAAUUUAAAAAAAAUAAUAAUAGAGUUGCAUUGGGGAUUCAGAAUAAUAAAAGCAGACAUUUAAUGAAAAGGAUGGUGAGUACUGAGUAGUGACCAAAAGGGCGGUGAGUAGUGACCGGCCAAUGUUAGAAAAAAAAAUUUGGGAAUGGAAAUUCUUAUAUUUAUCAUCAAUAUCGCCAACCUUAGACAGAAAAAUGUUAAAUUGAAAUUAAAGUGAACCCAUCCGGUACUUGUAAGAAAACUAAAAAUAAUGAAAACACAACCUUUAAAGCAAAAUAUUAGUUGAACUUCAUAUAAUUAUUUAAAUAUUUUUUAGACAUAUAUAUAUAUAACUUUAUUAUUUAUCUAUGGCCAAAAAACAUAUAUUGUCUUUAAUACCACAUUCAUAGCCGGCACAAGCCACCAUUCAAUAUGACAGGUAGCCUUCAUUUUAAAUUUUCUCAAAUAUGAACCUACGUAUAGAUAAUAUCAUAGGCUUCUUGCGCUUUGGAAAAGACGUUGUAGUAGUAGUCUCCGCUAGACUAGCAAGGUCCGAGCGGUAAAAAACAUAACCAAGGAGAGGCAGCACAUUCAGACCAAAAAAAAAGGAGAGGCAGCACCGAUCCUGGAGAAAAGUAUAUUACGCUUAAGCAACAUAUGAUUAGAAAUAUCAUGAGUAAAGUGGAUGCAGAAUUUACCUCAAUGAAUUAUGUUCUGUCAUGAUCCAAAUAACUAGGGCUAUUUUAGUAAUCAAACUAGUUUUGAUUCCGAUUCUAUAUGGUAAAUAAACAACAUCAAUCAUAAUUAGUUUCAUUCAUGUUUUGAUUCCUUAUGGUAAGUAAACAGUGGAAUAGUAUGAAAUAUUCUCAUACCGAUUAUUGUUGAUACCAAUGUUGUUGAUACCGAUUCAUGAUAAUUUUCAUUUCAAGUUAGUAAACGUGCUCUAAGCAAUCACUAUAGGCUCGUCACUAAUUCUCAAUAGUGACCACUUAAUAUACUUGGUCACUAACGGGGUUUUAUGCAGCAAAGAUCUUCUGCUGUUGUACAUUAUAUUGCAUUCCUCUUUUCAUGCAUGUAUGCAUUCGGCUUUAACUUUUGGAAAGAAGUUUGUAUAGUUUUAUUUACAGUGAGUUAUGUAACUGUUUGUUCUUUUAUUGUUGUUUCUUACAGAAUUGGACAAGUAGCUAAUUCCGGGAACAUUGAACUCUUAGAUACAGCUUCAUUUCCAGGUACAUUCCAGCUCCUUUGUCUACUAGAAGCUAUAGGCCUAAAGUUCCAUUGAGCUUUCUACCUGUUUUUCCAUUAACUUGGUGCAUGUUGCUUGCCAAUGUAACUAUUACACUUCUAUGUAUUCUCUUAAAAGCUGUGGUGGAUAUGGCUGCAUGAUCAUGAGGUAUGUGCUUUUUAGUGUCUGCUGAGUUAUUAAUUUACUGAAUUAUGCUGUUAAGACUGUGUACAUGGUAAAAUUACCGAUUUAUUUAAGGCUACACAAAUUGAAGAAGAAUCGAGUGUUUAUGUAGGUGUAGCUUGGAAAGCUUGUUCUUUGUAUUUUUUUUUCUCUUGCUAUUCAACUGCAUUAAAUAUUAAUCUGGAAUCUAAUGUUUUAGUAAUUUCUGGACACCUUAACAUAACUAGAUAUCAAUGCGCCAUAGAAUUUGGCCUAUACAUAUAAUUACACAUUAGGGUAAGAGGCAAUCUCUAUGUGUGAAUUUGUUUUGUGAAAUCAACACAGAAUGUGAAGUUUUGUGAAAUCAAUACAGAAGCUUAAGUAGUUUUUGUUUUCUUUGUUGGUUGAAGGCAUGAGGUCGAUAUUUCAUAACUCAAGAAACUUCCUGUGACACAAUGAGGUCAAGGUGAGAAUUUAUGAGUUUGCUGUUUCUUUUAUCCAUUACAUUCUUGGUAUCUUUUUUCGUACUUCCAUUUAUCUUUGUUCCUCUCCCACAUUCAUAUACUUUUUUUGAGAAUCUGGGAUGUCAAGGAACAUCUGAAAAUUUUCAUGAGUUUCACCAUGAAGAUAUCGAUGUAAAAGCACUGUAGAACUAAAGCAAACUGUAAUUCUAGGUUGAGUGCCUUGCUACUACUUUCAAAAGAUAGGCUGUGGAAUUUUGUAGCUGUGAUAGAACCUGACCAAGCUACCAUCAAUAACUAAAUUACAUGGAUUAUCUGAUUAUGGACCAUACUGAAUUGUAUAUCUGUGGUUUAUUGAUAGAAAUUUGUCGUCUUGGGAUUUUGUCCAAUUAGUUUGCAUUCUGUUGUUCUCUGUACCAUUUUCUGUGAUAUGCAAGAUUAGCUUGAUAAUUUGUACAUGUUGACCAAUUGGUUAGUUGUGUAAACAAUUUUGCUCUGAACCCACAAUUCACAAUUCCUUAUGAAUUUUGUGCUCAAUUAUAUAGUGAAAGGUAUCAACUUAUCAAUCUGUCAAUUAUAUGUGCUUUUAGAACAGAGUUUGAGGAGGAUUGAUGUUUGUUGUAUGCUACUUCAAAAAAAUUUCUUUAUUUACAGUGUUCAUUUGUUGUUCUUUAUUAUAAUAUCUCUAUGGUACACUUCGGACUUUAUGUUAUUUGUUAACAGGACAAGAAAGAAGGAAGGUGAGAGAGAUGGGGAUCUUGGAGAAGGAUCUCGAGGCCCUGAAGGAGCAGAUUGAUAAGUUGAAUUUAGAGAGAGUUCACUUGAUGCUUCAUGUUUAAAGUCAUCAAUCGACUCAUCUGUCCCAAACGAACAGGUCAUUAAUAGAAUGGUCAUAAAUACCAGAUCCAGUACACAUGCUUAUCUUUAACCCUAUUGCACAUCUGGCUUACUUAUGAACUCAACAUCUAAUUACCUUUUAUUACUUCACAUUAAUGAAGAGCUGAAUAUACUUGGUUAAUCUGAUUUUUGUCUUGCAGUUGGUAUAUUUCAUCUGAUUAUGAUUUUGUAAGAGAAUUGUGAUUUACUGUUAUAUAUGCAUGCAUGUCUGCUUAUAUGUACAAGCAAGAGCUGCAAAUAGUAGUUGGAACUUGGUUAUUAUCAAAGUAACUCUAAAUCAGUAGGGAACUUUAAACCAUACCUUCACCAAAUCCAUGGGGCAUAGCAUCUCUGUAUCCCCAACUACUUAUCUUAAACUUUUUGCAAUAUCAGCAUCCUUCUUUUAUUUGCCAUUAAUUAAUUCUUAAAUCUCAUGUCUCUAUUCUAAAUAUUGCCUUCCUUUGAAUUUCAUUGUUUAAUGAUACAUUACUGGUUCCUUUAAAAACAGCUAAUAUUGUUUAAUCUACCCAGUUUCUCAGUGCCAGCCAACAGCAUCCAGAUCAACACUGACAGAAAACAAUCUAACAUUUGAAACAGCAAGGAACUUAUGUAAAGUCAUUAGUUCGAAAUAAAAGACCGCAGCAGCACCCGGGAAGAGAAGAGGUGCGAGUCCAAUUCUAUAAUAUGAAAUUGGGGGUUUCUUUUAGUUGUGUAGUGUAACAAUGAAAUGAUCAGUGUAUAGUGAUAUUAUUAGGAAGCAUACUUUGAAAACAGGGGCCUGCAACGCGCGGGCAUACAUCCUAUUAUUGUUAAUUAAUGGAAGAACGCUGGAGACCUAUGGAAUAGUUUUCGUUGGAAUAUGAAGGUAUGACCUUUUGAUGCCUUUGGUGUUUCAUAUGUACAAGAGAAGGUUAUACAUAGUUUCAAAUUGAUCGUCAUAAAAUAUUUGUAACCACAUGCUUUGAUGAAUGUAAUAUGAUGUAUAGGUAAAAACAUGAAAAAAAGAAAAAAUGAUAGUUUCUGAAGUUAUAGAAAAGAAAAAAAAGAAGAAAAAAAUGACUUUUGAUAUGUUUAGGUUAUAUAUCAGUUUGUAAUUGAAUUACAGUAAUUUAUGAGUUAAAUUUUCAUAUUAGUUGAUGUUGCUCAUCCAUUAAUAAGCUUAAAUUUAGGUGAAAUUAAACUGUUUUUUCAUAUCCUGAAUAUUUUGGUUUGUGCUUACUCGCAUCGCAGGUUCAUGCCUAUCGGAUUUCUCAGUGUGUUUUUUUUCACAAUUUUUUGUAUGUUUGUCAUUUAGCUAUUAUAUUUUGUAUUCAUUUUGAAAUUGUUGUCUACUUGUAUAAGAUUUUUAAUGUUCAAUUAUGAAAAUGAAAGCGGUGUUGGAUUCUGAAGAUGUAGAUUACAGUUAUCUACCUUUUAUCUAUAUUGUGUAUUUUAACAUCCAUUUGUGAUGGACACAAAUUUAAUCUACUGUAACAGACAUUGAUAUCACAACUAACUACUGCUUAUAUUUUUGUGUAUUAUUAUUGUUAUAUGAAUCGUCGAUUUUAACUUGCGGCAACGCGCAGGGACAGAACCUAGUGUCUAUCGUAUUUUAAAGUUUACGAUAUUUACGUACCGAGACUUAUUGCAGGAGGUUAGAGCACAACAAAAUAUCAGGGAACUGGUGUCACUGAUCUUCCCUCGGUCUAUUCCUUAAGCCCAUUCAAAUUCUUAAUAAAAAGACGUUAUUACCUUUUGUGUGAUUAAACCCACACAAAUCUCUCUCACGAAGCAGUGCCGAUCUCAGCAUUAUGUAAAUUUUCCCGAGAGAUAAUAAUUAGUUCUGGAUGUAAAUACCGAAAUAGAAGUGGAAACUUCCAAGUCCCCACUAACUUUGACAAAAAGAUGAGAAGGGUUAAAAAGAUACCGGUUAACGUCAUCUAUGUGUGAAAUGCGUGGGAAUAAAGGCUAGUUUCUUAUAGUAGGAAGCCGAUUAAUUUCAGAUGGAAUGAUUUCCAAAGUAUUUGGUAUGCACGACAGGGUCUUAGAAAAAAAGGCUCGAGUUGAGAGUUUAGUUUCAUUUUCAUCCGGCAACGCCUUGUAAUUAAUGCUGGCACGUUAGUGUGCGAUAUAUGUUGUUGGAUGAGUGUUUGGUGGCCUGCGAUGGGAGGCAUGAAAACAAAGCAAAGCAAACCGGCACAAAAACAAUAGGCCGGACAACACAGAAAAAGUAGUAAGCUGAUUUGAAGAGUAACUACCCUAUAGUCAAAAGAACAUUCCAGCCCCGAACAGAUAAGCAAGGUUGGCGUUUACUACAGAACCCUCACUCUCUGAUUGCCAAGCUGUACAAAGCCCUAUAUUUUCCAAAUGGAGAUUUUUUCUCCGCAGAAUUGGGGACCUAUCCUUCAUUUUCAUGGCGUAGCAUUCUUUCAGGCAGAGAGGUAUUGUCACAAGGAUUGCGAUGGAAAAUUGGCUCCGGAUCUCAUGUUAAUAUAUGGCAGCAUAAAUGGAUUCCUGACUCAUUUCCAAGAUGUCCUUCAUCUCCUCCGGCACAGGGAGCUCCUCAAUUGGUUUCAGAAUUAAUAAAUCCAAUAACUCGCAAUUGGGAUGUUCACAAGCUCAGCAUGUUCUUUUCACCUGCUGACAUUGAGUUAAUUUUGACCAUUCCCUUAAGUAACAGAAUGGUGUAAGAUCGACCUAUAUGGCACUUCCACAAGAAAGGUACAUUUAGAACAAACAGUGCGUAUUUUGUGGCUAGAGACAUUCACCUAGAAGUUGUAUUAGCACCUCCUCCUCCCAUUGAUCCAUUUGGUAAGCUUUGGAAAGAAAUUUGGAGUGCUAAAAUACCUGGUAAAGUCGGCAUACAUAUAUGGAGAAGCUGUGCAGGGAUUUUACCAACUAGAGAAGGUUUGCAACAAAAAGGUUACGAAGGGGAGAUGGGUUGUUUAAUGUGCCAGCAUCAUAUUGAGAAUAUUAUGCAUCUGUUCUUUCAAUGCCAAUAUGCCCAGAAAACUUGGAAUGUUGCUGCUAUUACAAUUGAUGUGUCAAAUCGUGAUUCUUUCAAGGAUUGUUUAAUGCAUAUGGCUAGCACUAUGACUAAGCAUACCUUUGCUAGAGCUAUGGUCAUCUUAUGGUCUAUAUGGAAGAAUCGAAAUAGUCAAUUGUGGGAAGGCAAGAAACAGAGGCCUAGUGACGCAGCUAUGCUUAGCCUAGGAUGGCUCCAAGAGUUCACAACAGCUAAUGUGACACCGACUGGAUCGAUAGAUCGUCGGCAACAAAAUUGGUCAGUGCCGGCGUCUGGAUGGUUAAAAUGCAACUGUGAUGGUUCUUUUUUGGCUAAUACUCAUCAUGGAGGCAGUGGUGUUNNNNNNNNNNNNNNNNNNNNNNNNNNNNNNNNNNNNNNNNNNNNNNNNNNNNNNNNNNNNNNNNNNNNNNNNNNNNNNNNNNNNNNNNNNNNNNNNNNNNNNNNNNNNNNNNNNNNNNNNNNNNNNNNNNNNNNNNNNNNNNNNNNNNNNNNNNNNNNNNNNNNNNNNNNNNNNNNNNNNNNNNNNNNNNNNNNNNNNNNNNNNNNNNNNNNNNNNNNNNNNNNNNNNNNNNNNNNNNNNNNNNNNNNNNNNNNNNNNNNNNNNNNNNNNNNNNNNNNNNNNNNNNNNNNNNNNNNNNNNNNNNNNNNNNNNNNNNNNNNNNNNNNNNNNNNNNNNNNNNNNNNNNNNNNNNNNNNNNNNNNNNNNNNNNNNNNNNNNNNNNNNNNNNNNNNNNNNNNNNNNNNNNNNNNNNNNNNNNNNNNNNNNNNNNNNNNNNNNNNNNNNNNNNNNNNNNNNNNNNNNNNNNNNNNNNNNNNNNNNNNNNNNNNNNNNNNNNNNNNNNNNNNNNNNNNNNNNNNNNNNNNNNNNNNNNNNNNNNNNNNNNNNNNNNNNNNNNNNNNNNNNNNNNNNNNNNNNNNNNNNNNNNNNNNNNNNNNNNNNNNNNNNNNNNNNNNNNNNNNNNNNNNNNNNNNNNNNNNNNNNNNNNNNNNNNNNNNNNNNNNNNNNNNNNNNNNNNNNNNNNNNNNNNNNNNNNNNNNNNNNNNNNNNNNNNNNNNNNNNNNNNNNNNNNNNNNNNNNNNNNNNNNNNNNNNNNNNNNNNNNNNNNNNNNNNNNNNNNNNNNNNNNNNNNNNNNNNNNNNNNNNNNNNNNNNNNNNNGUGUAUAUAUAUAUAUAUAUAUAUAUAUAAGACACAUGAAGGAUGUAUUUAAGUCUUUAACAGGGAGGGGCAUACACUAGUAGUUUGGAACUUAGAUAUAUUCAAGUUAUAAACAGUUUUUUGGCACACAGAUCAAGUUGCAUCUACCUAAAAUGCUCAAUGAACAUGUGUGAUGUGCAAUUUGUAGUUGAGAUGUUCUACUUAGAGAAUCAAUUGAGUAACUCUUUCAAUUAGCUCUACUGAGGAAGUUUUUAAUGUUUUUUAAUAGUUCUUAUUAAUUGUUUGAUCGAAGACAAAUACAUUAUUUUUCUCUUUUUAUUUUGGAGUAAUGACACACAAUUGUACAUGACCUAAUUGAAACAGACCGUCGAUUACUGUAUAAAGAGUUUAAGACAAUCAAGAAUUAUUUGUACAUACAAAAAUAAGACAAACUGUACACAGCGCGAGCGCGGCUCUUUCGCACGUGCAUGAUGCGUGCACGAAAGCUAGAUCUAAGCUAGAUCUUUUUAAAUAAUUCACUCCUUCCAUCUUCAACAAUUUUCCAUGAUUUUUUUUUGGUCGAGUAUUUGAAUAAUUUUUUACUGUCUAUUAAUGUUACUAAGAAAUAUUGUUACAUGUCAAAUGAUACAAUAAUGUAGCGUGCACUAUAGAAUAAAAUUACAAAAAGAUGUACAUUGCAUGUAACGAUAAAUAAAUCGUUAACUAAUGUUAACAGCCAAAAAAUAUUAAACGCACACGCGAGCAAUGCACGUGCAAGAAGGCUAGUUAAAUUUUAAAGUUAAUUUAUUUUGUUAUCAUUUUACGGUAUUAACCAUCAUUGAUUUAUUUUUUUUCUAUAUCAAAAACUCCUCUAUCGUGGGUAAUACAAAUAUGGGUAGUUCAUAAAAAAGGCUUCACCAUGACACCAAAGAGGAUGUCUGGCUUUCUAAUAGUAGAGAGAUCAGUUCUUUUUUAGUGUGGUGUCCCGCUUUGAAAUUAAAGUGUGGACCUCCUUAUUUCGCUCACUUUCAGGUCGCAUUUAGAACCUCUCGUGUUUAUUGUCGGAAAAAAAAUAGAAAAAAAACAAUAAAAUUGAAAAUCAAAUAUCUAGAGACGUGAAAAUCAUGAGCUUGUGUUAUCAACGGGCAGAGGCGACUAGUAUCAGUUUAGUGGCAAGUCUUGUUGGAAUUCUGUAGCAACAGGGCACUCUGGAAUAUAAUCAGGAACACAAGAGGCUAAUGAAUUAUACGUCUCUCGUGGUAAAAAAACAAGAAAAAAAAAGAAAAAGAAAAAGGAGAAUUAGUGGAGAAACAUCAUAUCUUUUUCUUCGAGCAUAAUCAGGUUUUAGAAGCAAUUUUGUUCCACCAGAAAGGUGAGACCAUCAUAUCUUUCAUGCACAAAUAUACCAGAAGCUACAUUAAGGUUGCCUGCUCCUUCAACAAAUAGCCAGACUACAUUGAGCUUUAUCCUGCCUGACUGCUAUUUACCUAGCUGCCACAAGAAGCAACCAGCCAAAAACAGCAGAUAGUUUAUUUCUCAAUUACCACUAAAGCUUCAUAUUAACAAUUCUACAGUAGUAAUUCUAAGUUUUUAACCAUGUGGACACUACAAAACCACCACAAUGACUUAAACAGGUUUAGUGACACACCUCUUUAGGCUCCUUUCACCAUUCAGAUUCGCCAUGAGGUCCUCCAAUUCAUCAAUGAUUGCAGAGUAACAGAAAAAAUAUUGCUCCUACAAACAACAAAGAAAGACGGUUAAAAAAAUUUGAGGAUAACAGUAUCACAUUAUCAUCAAAUUUAGCUAAACAACCCAAACAAGAAUCUUAAACUCUAUAAAACCAAAAAAUAGUAGAACCUUCAAGAUUGGUUAUCAUACACCACUGGACGCUGUUUGCCCAUACACCAUGUCAGACCCAGUUAAUUAUAACCACCAACAUUGAAGCACAAAGAUAUUUCAAGCAUAUAAUCACAGAAGAAGAUUCACAAAGAUGAUACUUCAUCAUAGAAGAAAAUUCACUAAAAGUGGCAUCAAUAAAAGUGUAUUAAGACCUAAGUUAACAGACCUACCAUUGCAAGUUAUAACAAAUCUAAGGACAUUAGACCAAAGCAAUCUUUUUGGUGAAAUAAUUCAAUUAAUCAAAUAAGAUAGUUUUCUGCAACAUGUUCUUUUGCAAGCCUUCUUACUGUUAAUCUAAUCAUGGAAGUACAGUACAGAGUAGAGAUGCUUGGAUGUAGGGUAAGAGAUACAAAGACCUUUGUUUCUGAUACAAAAUUGUUGUUUGAACAUCUAUAUGGAGUUAUUUCGGGAUUUAAUGUCAUUUUUAACCUGUGUGGAAACCUGAAGUAAUUUUACUGUGAUUUCAAUAUCUGUGGCUUUAUUUCUACACUGUAAUUGGACGUGUGUAGAAAUCACGUAUUUCUACGAUACUACAGUUUGAAGCAUAAAAGAGAAGUCUUAUUGGAGAAGAUGAAUAAUAAUAAUAACAUUAAUAAUAAUUAAACAAAACUAUGACAAACAGAGGAGAAUAUACCAGUGUCUGCACCAUUCCAAUACGCUCAGUCCUAAAAGUGGUUAUUGUAUUAGCAAGAUCUAAAGCAGACAUGUCCCCCGAAAGAAUUCUCUGAAUCGUAUUAUGAAUUGUGCAGUAUGUUCCAGUCCUCCCAAUACCUGCACUGAGAAGGUGAGCAAGUGUGUCAGACAAAUAAAUUACUUAUCAUACAUGCAGACGACAUAAAUGGAAGUAAUGAAAAUGAGUGCAACCUGCAGUGCACCACUACUGGGCCAAGGUCAGGUGGAACUUGAUAUAUUGUCUUCAAGAUUUCACGAACAGCAAUUGUAUCUGUGGGAACUCCAUGGUCAGGCCAUUCAGGAUACUGAAUAUGCAGCACAGAAAUUGGUGGUUCUUCUGACUACAAAGGAAAGCAGGGGCAGGCAGCUAUCAAUUUUAUGUUUAAUAUCUUUAAGAGAUUAGAAUAACAUAAUUCAAACAACAAUACAUCCAUAUAGUAAUAGUAGUACCCAAGAAUAAAAGUUAUAAGGCUUACAAAUAGUUGGAAAAUCAUACAAGGAACAAGGAACGAAUGCACGCUAUAUUUUCCAAGUUCAAAGAACUUACAAAUUAUGCUAUAAAAAGCCAAAGAAAUAAAUUUGUAACAUUCACAAUACUUCUUAUCUCAAGAACUUUAUGUACAAGAACCCAAAUAUAAAUCGUAUAUUUCCCCAUACAAGAAACCAGAAUCUACAGACUGAACUAAAGGACAGGCAUCUUAAGAUCAAACUCUAAACGUAAACCAACAAGAAAAAAAAAUUGAAACAAUGAAGAAUCUCUAAAGUUGAACAAUUUUUUUCUUCAUGUUUCUUUGAAACCAAAAUCCGACCUUUCCCAAUCAUUAUCAGAAUUCGGAAGUAUUGACCCUUGCGUGUGCAACUAUCCAAGAAUACAUUAAACUGUGCUAGAUACCUUAGCAUGUAUUCAACAACAUUUAUUUAUCAUUUAUUUAAAAUGUGAUAAGCUUAACAAGGAAUGUCAAAUUAAACCUCAACCACACCCCCCACCCUUAAAAAGAAAAAGAAAAAAAAAGCCCCUUCCCCAAAUUGCAUUCAUGCCACAUUCAAUUUUUACUGAUUGAUUGAGGAGUAUCAGAAAGAAUCAAUCAUGUCAUACGACUUUAGAACCAAAUAAGUGUUUAAUAUGAUGCAUGGGUUAUAUUUGUUUGAUUUACUUUUUAUUUAACAGCUGUACUUAUUCUGAAGGGAAUACAAAUGGCUUUACCUCUUUACUGUUGACCUCCAGAAGCCGCAAUGCUAUUGAAUUGCCAGUGGUUCUUAUCCACUUGGUGGAUAGAGUUAUGUUACCGAAUUCUCUAGGACCAUCUUCUGCCUGAAAAUAAUCUCCACACUUGACCAUCUGCACAUACAUGUAAAAAGAUAUACGAAAUUUCAGGCCGAAUAAUAACUGUGAACAUUAUUUCUACAACUAUACACAAAGCAAACAAGAACACUCGUACACUAGUACGAAUGUACUGUUAUGAUCAUAAUAUGGAUUAAAAGUUCAGUUGGUGCUAUCUCUCAUAAAGUUGAGGUGUUUCACUAAAGCUCAGUUGAUAUAAGUAGGGACUAAUUCGUUAUGAGAAGACAAAAAUAAAUUACUACCAAAAAUCUUUUUUCUUAAGAACUUGACACUUGAAACAUGAAACCUGAUAUGUCAAAGACUAUUGAUCAUUAUUUCUUUUAAACAAACUAGGGCUGAUGUUCUCUAAACGAUUCAAAUCACACAAAACACUAUUAGAAAAGUACCCUGUGAUAGUCGACCAAGCGAGUGAGCAUGACAACUACAGGGCACCGGUUCUCAAGUACCAUCUCCCAGAAAUCCUCAUAUGUGUGCGGAAGUGGACCUUGUGUAGCAAUAAACCUAGAAAUGUUUCCAGAGGAACAAGCCUACAUAAAGAAUCAACACUGAAAGGUCAUUUAGAGGCCAUUUCUCUCAAGGUACAAAAAAAAAAAAAAAAAAAAAAAAAUAAGGACAUAUAUUUGUUUUACCGAAAUGAAGCUGGCAUUGAUGUAGCCCCUUGCUUCAGGUCUGUAAUCUUUACAAGAGUUGAGAACUACCCUAUUCUGAUCAACUGAAGCCAACAACAACACAAUCUAUUAAGCUCUAAUCUUAAUGACUAGUAUUACAGUACAAGUGUAAUGUAGAGAGAGCGAAACUGAGACAUACAUGGUAACACAUCGGUGUACCGAUUUUUGCUGACAUUGACACUGUCAAGAGCCACAGUGCAACUUCUCUUCAUCUCCGACGCUGUGAUCCGCUUCCCCUAAGCAGCAUUCAUCACCAUUUCAAUAACCUAAUUUUAAGAAAUUGGAAAGAAAUUUGCGAGGACAAGAGACCUGUAAGAGAGCGAACUCUUGGUUUAUCUGGUGAGGCAUCUGGAGCUUGUCUUUGAGGAAUUUGAGGGCCUGGGAGCAGUAGUUGUACUGAUCGGGACUGAGUGUGAGCCUCGGCGGCGGAGAAUCGGCGGAGAAGGAAGGGAAGGGUUUCGAUGCCAUCGCCCUCAAUCGCCGGUGGCUGCGGGACCGCCUGGAUAUGACGUUCCCCAGUUUUCUCACUCAGAUUUUUGUUUCUGUUCCUAACAAAAUUUAAAUGCCCAGUCGCCCAAUCAGUGUGGGUGGCAAUGCUCACUAUAACUCAUCCAUGAGUGAUUACGCCUUCUUUUCUUUUUUUCCUUUUUUUUGAAUCACUUGAUUACGCCUUCUUUAACUUUAACUCAGUUAGAACAUUUCUUAAAAAUAAAAAAAUAAAUAAAUAAAAUAACUCCUCGUUAUAAUCAUUUCAUAAAGAUAAUAAUAAUUAGAAAAUUUUAAGUUGAAUCAUUUUGUUUGUCCGGUUUGGUAUCAUUUGAUCUACUGGCAAAAGUAUCAUUUUGGUUAAGAAGUUUAAAAGGUAAUUCAAUAUUACUUAAAUAGAGAAAGAGGACCUCUCUGGUCUCUCAACUAAGAUCAGGGUUUUCAGCGUUCUCAGUUGUGUGACUUUAUUUUCUCCAUGUCAGUUGCUCUUGCGACCAUCACUUUUGGACUUGGCAAUAUGUUUCCUUUUCACUUUUGCUAACGAAAGAGAUCUGAAUAGGGUGAAGAAAGGAGGGCCUUGACAAUUAUUAGACUCACUAUUACUACCAGCGGAUGGACAUACCUUAGAUGAGUGAUCUUCAUUACUAGAGAGUUGUGGGUUAGGGGUAGGAUCAAGAGGAGCAGUCGUGUUUUCAACUCUCUGUGUCUACAUGUCUAUAUCUUCUACUUGGGUAGUUGUCUUUUCAACUUCUAGUGUCUGGAUCUCUGGAUCAUAUGCCUUUGAAUGAGCUUCUGCUUCUAGAGUUGACAAGUUGAUGAUUUCAACUGCAUCUGUCAAAAUUUCUCAAGCGUGCAUGCAUGACUUCUUCUUCACCUUUUGAUCCCCCCUGUUCUCCAUGAUACAACUCUUCGAAGUAUGCCGAAGUAUGAGUUCUCCCCGUUAAGAGCAGUAUCAAAGGAGGAAAAAUAUUCGACCAAAAACAAAAAGGAGGAAAAAUAGCUUAUGUUUUCAAAGAAAGUGAAAUCCAAAGUGACAUAAUAUUUCAUAGUUGGUGGAUGAUAGCACUUGUAUCCUUUUUGAUAUUCUCCAUAUCCAACAAACACACACUUAAUCGCCCGAGCAUUUAACUUAAGACCUACGGUUUUUAGGAAUAUGUAAAAAAAACACAACCAAUCAUACGGGCAUAAAUAUCACGAGUCUCCGAAUUUUUUUUUUUGUUGAAUAAAAGGUUAGAACGGCGGCCCUCAUGUUAUAACCAUUAACAAAACCUCAGAAUACAAGGUGGGGGGGGGGGGGGGGGGGGGGGGUGGGNNNNNNNNNNNNNNNNNNNNNNNNNNNNNNNNNNNNNNNNNNNNNNNNNNNNNNNNNNNNNNNNNNNNNNNNNNNNNNNNNNNNNNNNNNNNNNNNNNNNNNNNNNNNNNNNNNNNNNNNNNNNNNNNNNNNNNNNNNNNNNNNNNNNNNNNNNNNNNNNNNNNNNNNNNNNNNNNNNNNNNNNNNNNNNNNNNNNNNNNNNNNNNNNNNNNNNNNNNNNNNNNNNNNNNNNNNNNNNNNNNNNNNNNNNNNNNNNNNNNNNNNNNNNNNNNNNNNNNNNNNNNNNNNNNNNNNNNNNNNNNNNNNNNNNNNNNNNNNNNNNNNNNNNNNNNNNNNNNNNNNNNNNNNNNNNNNNNNNNNNNNNNNNNNNNNNNNNNNNNNNNNNNNNNNNNNNNNNNNNNNNNNNNNNNNNNNNNNNNNNNNNNNNNNNNNNNNNNNNNNNNNNNNNNNNNNNNNNNNNNNNNNNNNNNNNNNNNNNNNNNNNNNNNNNNNNNNNNNNNNNNNNNNNNNNNNNNNNNNNNNNNNNNNNNNNNNNNNNNNNNNNNNNNNNNNNNNNNNNNNNNNNNNNNNNNNNNNNNNNNNNNNNNNNNNNNNNNNNNNNNNNNNNNNNNNNNNNNNNNNNNNNNNNNNNNNNNNNNNNNNNNNNNNNNNNNNNNNNNNNNNNNNNNNGGCACACUGUGCCUAAACCCAUACUGUAAGAACACCCUAAAUAUUAGGUAUGUCUACAAAAUCUAUGCAUUCUAACAAACACCAUUUAACAAAGAGUGAAUCAUUUAACUACUCUAUUUGCUUUACAAUUUUGACAACAUACCGAAAAAAAAAACUACUCAUGUAGAGCCAUAACUUACUAUGUGUAUUAGCUUUCCGGAUCUGUUGCCACUGGAAAUUACCAGUGACCCUAAGUUUCAUCUUGACAUUAGGCGGAUGCGACCAUUUAACAAAACAAAAAACUCACUGCAUCAUUAGAGCAAACUGGCAUGCUACAUGCACUUACCAGGACAUAGCCCACAUCUCUAAAUCAUGAGAUGGUAAGGAAUUAUUAAAAACAGUAAAUAAAAAACAACUGAAAAAUAAACUAUAAAGAAAAUAAAAAAGCAUGCAGGGCCCAAAAGGCCAGCCCAACCCAGAAGAUCAUAGCCUUGUCGAGCCCGACGUAAUUAAGUAUGCCCAGUGGACCAGUCAACCAGCCCUCUACCCCAUCUCCGACCCUUUGAUUUUCUUUGAAAGCUUUUCUUUAGUUAUUCCUCAUCGUCAACACAAGCGAGAAGUACCAUGUUGCUUGCUGCUGCUCUUUCUUGCAAGCAAGCAAAAACAUUUCUCUCGAUGUUUGAAUCAAAAUCUUAUCCAUCUAUUGAAACAAGAAGUGUAAUCGUAGUUGAAAACGAAACACUAUUCUAAUGAUCAUACAGAAAUAUAUACUAAAGUCAAUAAUUACAAGAAAUUAAGGUUGAAAUUAGUAGUAGUAGUAGUAGUAUUAGCUUCAUGGUUUAUCUGUAAUUUUCUCCAAGUUUAAACAGAUAAGUGUUGGAAAAUAAUAUUGGACGCUGCAUUUAUCUUUGUCUGCACAAAAUAGUUUUGAGAUUAACUUAAAUAUAAUCAGUAGAAAUAUAAAUGUAAAACUCUAUCCUGUUAUCUAUUGAGGUGUAUGUCUCUCAUUAGAAGUUGGAGACUUAUCAAGUUGAUUAACCUGAUCAACAUUGAGUUCUUGAGAUAAACCUAAAGACUUGUAUCUGAUAAACAUUAAGUGAACUCGGACUCCUUAUGGGAUGAGCACGAGUUAUAUUUCUAGGCCACUAUAUAUACAAGUAGAAAGUCCCUAUUCUAACUACGCUUUUCCUUGAGAAAUAACAGUCCCAUUCUGUGAAGAAACAAGUAGUAUAGCAUAGAAGAUUUUCCUUGGUUUUGUGUAUUGUGAGAUUGCAGUUGUGUUGCUGAGUUGCUGAGAAGAUGACUACCGUGAAUGGUACCCCAAUUGAUGCUGGUCCUUAUGGUAAUCACCUAGAGAAACUAGGAAACUCUUUAAGCUAUUGGUUUAUGAUUUCUACAGUACUGUGUUUGUGCUUAUUGUGAAACGAUCUUGACUUAAGAUAUUAUGCAAUUCAGUUUCAGGUAUAAUAUAUAAUAAGGAGAAGACAUUAUUAAUGAUGAAGCUCAUCCAUCUGCAGCUAUAAAAUGCAGAAUAUCCAACUGAAUUCCUUUCUGAUGGUCAUGAGAUUGGCUUCAACACAUACAUUUUACAUGCAUGAGAGUUCACGGAGGCUGUCAAGUUUCCAACAAAUAGCUUCUUCAGUGUCUUGUGCUGCAUUAAACAUAAUAUAUAUGGUUACAAAAUAUUAAUUCUUGAUCAAAAACACAGAAUAAGAGCAAUAGCUGCUAUCAGAGAUUGAAAAGGAAUGCUGGUAUGCCUUCUUAACCAGAUAUAUAAGUUAAUACAUACCUCCCAAAGAUCUCUUGCUUCAACAACAGUAUUUGGGGGGAGCCCUAUGUCUUCCCAUUGAGCUGUAAUGGUAUUGUUCUCAGGUCCUUGGUUGAUAAGGAGUAAAGCUACUCUGUACCCUGAAAGUGGUCCAGCCCAGAUCUGGCGGCAAUCAAAUAAAACAAUGGAAGUCACUUGCUGUCACUCUAUAGACACAACUCAGUAUCACUCUCAGCCUAGAUAUCAGAAAAAUUCUGGCAUUUCAAUUGUACCUCAAGAUCUCCUUCCAGUCUGACUUUUUUAGCUUGGACACCAAGUGGAUCUGUUAUAAUUAUAGACACAAAUAUACAAUCAAUUACAUUCAUCUGAAAGAAAAAUAGUCUAUCUAAAGGUUCUAGUUACCUUGGUUGACAGAGAUGACCUCUUUAUUUGCAACGAUCUCCAGAGUGUCUUUUGACAUAUUCCUCACAUCACAACCAAGAAGAAGGGGAGCCUGCAAUAGUAGUGAUUAUAAGUAAUUUUCGCCAAAAGAGAUGAGCAAAACAUAUAUGCUCAUUUUGUAGUAGAACAUCGAGCAAAGGAAAUGUUCAUGAGUUAGGUACCUUUGAUAUGGCCCAUAUGCUAAAAUGGACUACAUAUUCAUCUUUUGUCAUUCCUCCAUUUCCCACUUCAAGCAUGUCGGGAUCUGUUUAGAUUAAGAAGAUAUUACUCUUGGAAAAACUAUAUUCCUACCGAUAGUAUGGGUGAACAAGUGCACUAAAGGAACUCUAACCAUUCCAACCACCAGGCCUGGCAUAUUCAGCAUAAACUUCAUUCAUGUCUGCUCUGGAGACCAUACUGGAAUGAAAAUGCAAGAACAGUACAAUGGCAUCAUGGAUAAGCAACCAAUUCACAUAAUGGGAGCUUGAAUAAAAGACUGAUGUACUUAUUCCUAAACCUCACUCCUAAAAAAAGAAAAAAAGAAAAAAAAGAAAAAAGAGAACGAAUAGAAUAGAAAGAAAGAAAGAACCAGAAUAUGAACAGAAAGACCCUUCAGAGUUAAAGGAAGCAUAACUCUUUACCUCUCCCAUGAAUCAGAAAUGUCCUUUGUAGUUCUCCAGCUAUUUCCUAACUUGGCACCCCAUAAAGCAGGGUGCAUAUCUCCCCUAAUAGAUCAAACAGAAUAUAAAGUGAACCAAAAGAAGCUAAUUAAGACUACUACAGUAGUAACAAUUAACAAAUUGAAAUUGCUUAAUUUGCGAGCAAUAAGAUUACCACUCGCACAGAGAAAAGAAUAUGGGACGGCCUGCUUUCAUCAGAGCUCGGGUCAUUACAGGGUAUCUACAAGAAGAUAUCGGAACCUUUAGAGAAACUAUAUGGCAUAGAGUAGUCCUUUGAACAAAACGCAGAAUUAAUGAUCAACUACUAGUGUAAUUCUAGCGGUGGUAUUAUGAUAUAUAUAUUUUGUAUUACCUAACAGUUGGGUUUGAGCCAUCAUUAUAACAGUUAUCAUACUUUAAAUAAUCGAUGCCCUGGAAAGAAGAACAGGAUUAAGAGUUUAUAGUCAACUGCUAAUAGACAUGUAUCAUUGUAAUGGAAAUUACUAGAACAUAUUGUACCCAAGCAGCAAAGGUAUUGGCAUCUUGUUCUUCAUGACCAAGUGAACCAGGCAUGGUUUUGCUACAAGUGAAGUACCUGCCAAGCACAAUGCAUGUGCACCAAGCUGUUUAUUAACUGUGUGCAUAUAUCAAAAUUGAACAGCAACUGUGCAGGAAAUGUUUUCACUGGGGUCUGUGACUGCUAUCUUACCCUGCAUCUGAGUAGAUUCCUAUCUUAAGACCCUUGCUGUGGACAUAAUCCACAAGAGCUUUAAUGCCAGAUGGAAAUGCUGAUUUCUUGGCCACUAGAUUACCCUGGAAUAUCAAAUCUUAUGUUUAUUAAAUAUCUACUAAAGCUGAACUUGUUUGCCAUUGAAAGGAAACAUGUUAUACCUUGACAUCGCGUGCUAUUUCGGCCCAGCAGUCAUCUUUGAGGAAAUGAAAGUUUUCUGUCAGCACUUGGGACAAAAUGCUUGGGAGAACGAAAACAUAUGUACAAAUAUUGAAAAGAAAAAAGAAAGAUGCCGAUGUACCUAUGUUAACAUAGGUAUAUCCAAGUUUAGAAAGACCAGUGGAUACCAGAGCAUCAGCUGUCAAAACCACAGAAACAAAAACUGUCGGUAACCGCUACGAGUAAUCCACCAGCAUAUAUCGACUAACAAUACUAGAUUGAUGCACUUAUCACGAUGCGUCUAUAGCUUCAGGAAAUAUACAACUAGUAUGUGAAUAAUGAUUUAGGCAAAAGGUCAAGUUACCAGUUUCCUUGAUGGUUUUCUCCUCAAUUCGGCAGUUGAAGUGAUUCCAACUAUUCCACCUAAGCAAAAAGUAGAAACAAUUAAUCAGUAUGCUGCUAAGGUUUGAUAAUAGGAUGAGAUGACAUUAUUAGAAUCUGAAAGAUAGUUAUGUAAGGCUCCUGUUAUGAACUUUGUGGGCACUUGGCAUCUGUGCUUUUUUGCAGUCAAGAAACUUAUGAAGCUUAUUUCAGGUGUUCCCAGAAAAUAAUAACAGAGAAUACCCUAUGAGAGUUCAUAUUAGCUUACCCCAUUGGAGGAGUGACUCCAAGGCCAUUGGCAAGCAGAUUUCGCCUGAGAUGCGAGGCAGAAACACCCAUUAACUUGAAUAAGCAUAGGAUCACUGCCAUUACAAUCAUUGUGGUCGGCACUGCCUUCUUCCUCAUCGUCACUGUUCUACAGCUGCUGCUGCUGCUGCUUCUUCUUACUCAGUAUCACUAUCUCACUCUCUCCUCUACUACUGUCCACCGACCCUAUUUUUGUGCUCAGUUUAUCUUUACUUAAUUUGAUGGAAAUCUCCCUCUCCAGAAACGUGAUUUCAUUGUUUAAUGAAUUUGGUUGCCAAUCAAGAUCAAUUCUUGAAAGACUGAUCCGGAGGAGGUAGGGGUUUGAAAUGAUACAAAUUUUGUCAAUCACUUAUUAUUUGGCAUCUCAGUAUCGAUCAUCUAGAUUAAUGACACAUGUCUUUUUAAAUUAAUCUUUAUUCUUGGUAAUAAAAUGAGCAUGUGUCACUCAUCUAAAUGAUAUGUAUUAAAGUGAGCAAGUAAAAAGUGGUCGGCAAAUUGAAUGGUCUCUACUCAUUUGAUUAAUAGUUCCUCUUUUAUGUUAUUAACACACCUAAUUUUGCAAUCCACACACUUUAUGUAUUGUCCUAUCACUAUAAAUUUGAUUGUAUUUACAAAAUUACCCCUUAAAGAUUUAUAAAGGGGUGUGUGUGAAUAGCAAAUUUAGGUGUGUUAAAAGCAUCUCCAACAGGGCCGGUCUUGAAUGAUUAAAGACCCCGUGUGAAGAAAAUCUAUGGGCCCCUUGUAUCAAAUUUUUUAUUGGUAUAUCAAACUUUUUUUAAUUCAAAAAAUACCCUUUUUGUUUCAAAUAUGUUAAUAUACUCUUAAUAUUGUUAUCUUAAAACCCUCUAAUAAUGUUUUCACUUAAUUAUAUAUAUAUAUAUAUAUAAUUUUCUUUUCUUUCAAGGAAAGCCAUUCUUUUUCUCAACAUGGUCUAAUCAAUUGUAUUGUUCAUACUAAUCAUUUAGAUCAUGGAAAUGUCGAUGAUCCAAAAAAUGAAGCAACAACCUCCUAUAUCACAAAUAAGGACUUAAGAGUGAGUGGGUUUGACGAUAACCGCUCACACCAGAAAAAGUACACACCAAGCCUAGAUCCAAACUCGAAAAAAAUUGAUCUGGGUUGCUGGGCAUCCAGACCAAGGCACAUUUUGUAACUAUUGACCACCCAACGUAGUGCAACGCACCACCAUUCGCAGAUUUAGGUUGUUGCAAACCCAUAUCGGAUGACUCCCCACAGAGGUGCAUUGAUCUGGCUGAAAUUCUUUGCUGAAACACACGAUUCUCUUCUUUGAUCCCAGGAACCGUAGGGACAAUCUCACUACAUCCAACAACCGUAUAACAUGAUUUCUACCGCAGACCAUGUGACACCCUGACCCAAAAAUUUAUAUCAAUUUUAAAUUAAUAAAUCCAAAUCUUAAACGAAAUGGGAACUCAAAACUUGAAUAAUAUUUCGAGCAUUUGAACCUUAAUCAAUUUCAAGAACCAUGUAUACUGAUACAUAAAGCACUCAAAUUUUACAAAUCACAUAUUGACUACGUACAUUGAGUGUUGUCACCAAUAUAAUCAUUUAACCACAAGAUCAAACAUUUACAAAUACACAAGUAUACAGACAUGAAAUCAAUUUCCUACAUAUACUAUCACACCGACUAGUGUAUUAAAUUUUUAAUCAUUAACCAAACAUUGAUCGCGGCUCAAUUCUAACCACAACCCUCCCAAAGUAGUUUCAACCCUUUGGAGCAUAUUGCUCUCUAUAACCACAAUCACCCUCCCACUAAAAAUAUAACAUGGGUCUCAAAUAACCCGAUUUACGUCAUUAACCAUUAAAAUAUAUCAAAAUCAGACUUCUUCCACAUAAUACCCUAGAUUCAACUUUACUUGCCCUUAUCUUACCAGAAGAAAUCUAAAAUAAACUAAGCUUGCAAUCAUAAAAUAAACACAGCACCAAUAUCACCUUUCUGUCAGAAAGAAACUAAAUGGUCUUAAUGAUAUGUCCAACAUCAAACACAUAUUUCCAAAGGUUCACAAUAUAUCAACUAUACCUCAAAAACUUACACAAAUCUAGGAUUAUAAAAUGCUCAAUUUCAUACUAAAACUUCACUAGACCUUGUAAAUCAUCUUAAUUCAAACCAUAUCUCUUUACUUGUCCAAAAAUUAAUGAUUAUAAACUACUAACAUGAGAUUCAUAUUUGAAAUCAUUAAAGAAAUUGGAACAGUCUUUAGAAGAAACUACAGUAAUCAAUCACAUCCAGCCAUCAAUGUGAUCAGAUUUCAAAUAAAAGACUUCUAUCAGAACCACAAAAGAAAUUACCAAAUCAAGAUGCCAUCAAACAUCCCACGCACAUAACCCACAUAACUCGUUAGUUUUAACAUAGAGUGCGGUUAUUGGGACCUUCAAAUUUGCUCACUUGACCUCCAUUUGUUAUGAGUUAUUGAAUGACAAUUAUCUCCUCUUACGUAAUGACUAUUAAGGACAAUAAUCAUAUAAAAGGAAGUAUAUUUAUUCUCUCUAGACUUUCCAAUUCGAUAAUUAAUCGAUUGUAUUCUUUAUUAUUUUCUUUAUAUAUUUUUAGUUUCUAAUUUACUAUUUUCUAAAUUUUACUACAUAUUAUAUAUUUAAUUAGAGCUAGAACUAUGAUCAAUAUUGACCGUGUGACAUAAACUUUUCUAUUAUCAUACAUGUUGAAAGCAUAUAUAUACAAGAUGAAGGAAUAUAUAUAUGCAAAAACAAAUCGAUGAUAAAAAAUUAAAUAACUAUUGAAAUAAUUUCAUGUACAUAAAAUAGAGGAAAAAAAGAACAUACAUAGUAUACAAUUGUUAUCCUUGAUCGUUGUUUAGCACAAGUAAAAUAAAAAAAAAGUUAAUUUAUGUUAGAAUAUUUUCUUGUUGGUAAAUAUAAGUUUUUUUUUAUCAGAUAAACAAUUAAUAUGCUACAACGAGUCUGCUGUGAAUCGAACUCACCACCUCUCACUUAUAAGGAGAGAUGGUACUGGGCAGGUAAAUAUAAGUUUUUGAAACCCAAUACUUUGUGUUAUUUGAUUUUAAGAGAAAAAUUGACGUCAUUGAAAUUUUUUUCUUACAAAAUUGAUCAAAUAAUAGAGGUUUGGAGACAUUCUAUGGGAAAUAAAAAAUAUCAAGGAAUUGAGAUCGUGAAAGAGGUUUGAACGAAAAAAAAUAUUAAGGAAUAGAGGUCUCGAUGAUAGCAUGCAAAAAGAAAAAAUUAAAAGAAUGGGAGGUCCAGAGAAUAAAUAAGAGGUAUAAUGAGUAAAUUAUCAAGAUAUAUGUGAAUAACAUACCUAAGGUUAUUUUAGGAAUUUAAAAGGAGACCUAGUGAGCAAAUGCUUGUAAUUAAAAUUAAAAAAGAGGUGUAAAAAACAUAAAAGAUAUACUGAGCAAAUUUGGAGGUUCUAAUAGCCGCACUCUUUAACAUAUUCUAACGUCCUAACACUGACCCGAUUAACCACAAUAACUAAAAUUAAAUUGAUAUCAUUCUAUUAAACAUACACACAAGUAGAAUUCAUGUUAGUUAGCUCUUACCAAUAUGUAGACCUGGAUGAGUGGAGAGUUUUUUUACCCAUGUCGAUAUGAGACAACAUCUUAACAUCGCACUGUGGGAGUCGAUGAGCUCUCUCAUUUACCAACGGUUGAGAUUUCUUCCCGACGGUUCUAGAGAGACGAAGAGAAAAUUAGAGAAAGUGAGAGAAAUAGAGAGAGUUCUAGAGAGGAAGUGAGUGCGCGAGAAGUUUCCCCUCAAUCAAACCAAGCUCCUCGUUUUUAUCGUCUAUCGUCUAACGUAUAAAAUUAAAAUGCGCUCAUUUUAAACCUAAUGCAAAGAUUUCCAGCCACUCCUAUCUAACUCCCAUGUAGCGAUCAUGUCUAUUGUUUGCGGACCUUGAUUAGUGUACAACUCAGUAUAACUGAGAAUUAAAGAGAAGCAAUCUUCCAUCACUUGUCUCAGAAAAGGAUCAAGGAAAUCAAGGCCUCCUUGUCCUUGUUGUUAGGGCCCGCCUAACCUCAAGACAAACUAGAUAACUAGAUUGGGUGAUAAGGGAGCCCUUCUAGUGAGGACCUUUAAGUUGAGGACUUUUCGGUUUAUGGUUUGAAAUGCCCAAUUUUCGAUCACAUUUUGACAUCUUAUCCGUUCAGUUUUUAGGUUUAUAUGAGUAUAUCAUUUAUACAAAUUUUCACCCAAAUUGAUGUUCGUUAAGAUAACAAACUAUAUCAAAUUAAUGGACGAACCAAAUCUGUCAAAUAUGAACCGUUCAAGUUCAUAAUUGAUAAAUCACAUUUAUGAAUGUCUUAACAAUUUUCAAUAUAGCUGAAAAUUUGAAGAAAUGAUCUACUCAUAAAUACCUAUAAACUGAACGGUCAAGAUGUAGAUAUAAGAUCGAAAGAUGAGAUAAGCCGAAAAGUUAUCACCAAGUUCUCAACUUAAAAGUCUUCACUAAAAGGGCUCUUUCGGUGAUAAUACCCCUAGGUCCCGAAGGGCUUGAAAGGGAUAAAGUCAAAAAUCGCACCCUAGCCCAACUACAGCCAUGCAACCUUAAAGGAUAGGCUCAGCCUAGUCCAACAAGAUGUCAAGACUAGAUCCGACAGACGGGGCUGAUGUUCGACGAUGCCCGCUGCAACUCCGCCUUCAUUACUCUGCCAUCUCGUUAGCCAGACCGCGUCGCCACAAGCUUCGCAUACCCGCGACACCGCAUCGCCGCCUUCCGACAACGCCUCCAUAAUCCAUAGCAACCCAAAGAUCAGAGAUUCCCAUCCGUCAAAUUCGACCAUGUUUCUACAACGUCAAUCAAUGUCACCGGUAAGCUUCUCCAAUCUCUUGCAACGCCAGCUUUCAAACACCCAACCCCAUUACCAGAAUCAUAGUCAAGCACCCCGCACAACCAAACCCUGCCAAUCCAAAGCGAGACUACAUGGCCAUACCGCAAAAUCCGUCAGGCACCAAAGCUAGGAGGCUUCGACUAAUCCAAAGGACUUGUCUAGGCCAGCGGCUGCCGUCGAACGAGAGAAGUCUUGAAGGUUGGAAACUGCCGGUGGGAGAGAGUUUUGGCUGUUAGGGUUUUGUUAUUGGAAAUGUAUAUCUACUAUUUUUGCAAUUUGUGAAUAAUUCAAUGCAGCAUAAUUUCAACUUCCAACUUAUUGGUCAGUCACGACUCACGACACACAAAAAGAGGGAAAAGGGUUAUUUCUAUAGUUGGUGCUUGUGCAUAGCUGCUGGUUUGUCACCUCUAGUUGUAUAUGAGCAUUCGGACCAUUCCGGUGACAAAAUGAGACCCAUGAAAACUAAUAACGAAAAAAGAAAGCCAAAAUCCUUAGCAUCGCUGCUUCCAUCAGUGAUCAGUUCAUGAGCCUUGAACAACGGAACUACACAACAGAGGUCUCUCUCUUCGUCUCUCAUCACAAGUCUAAAUGAAUUCAUUGAUAUAUGUUAUUCUGAUCAUGAUGACGGUUUUCAUUCUUCAAUAAGCCUGUGUUUUCUUCAUCAUCUUUCUCAUUGCAUACACCCAUUUCUACACCAGUCAGCAUCUUGGCCUUCAAAGCCUCAGCCUCCCAAUCAGUCUUCACCAGCACAACAUAGAGAAUAGACACAGCACAAGCUACCUGUGCAGACAACAGACCAAACCAAAGUCCUGCAAACCCAAUCUUGAGCCAGAAAGCAAGUCCAACAGCUACAGGUGUACCCACAAAGUAGAAGGAACCUAAGUUGAUACGGGCACCUACGGCAGGGCGUGCGGUGCCGCGUAGGAUGCCGCAACCAGUAGUUUGGGGGCAGUUACCUAACUCACAAAGCCCCAUAAUUGGCAUAACUGAUGCAACCAAAACUUUGACGAGCUCGUCCUUGGUGAACAGGCCAGCCCACCUCUCUCUAAGAAUCACCGUCCAUGUCACAUUGAUGACGCCGAUCACAAAUGCACAUCCCAAAGCAACCAUCGCUGCAAGCUUGGCCUUGUAUGGCUUCCCAGCUCCGAGUUCGUUCCCAACCUAUAGCAUCGAAACAUGAAACAAAAUAACAUAUGCAUUAUAUUCUUUAAGUAAAAAUUAGAGAGAGUAAAGAAGAAAGGGGUAGAUGCAUAGUUCUACAUUUGCCUUCAAUUUCAUAUAUCCUUGCCUUCAAUAUUUAGUUAUUUACUCAAUAUGCGUAUAACGCAUCCACUAUGGUCAUUUCCGAAUCUACAAAAUGAGUUCCUCUUCCUCUGUGAAUUGGGGCAUAUUAAAUGGAAACCUAGAUACAAUCUACAGGGAUUACUAAAAACUCAUACCAUCUUUUGUCAAUGGAUAGAUCUGAAAACAAUCGACUUCACACCAUAAAUCCUUCCGGUGUCACAGAAAACACAUGCAGUAUAGUAGUAAAUCAACAAGAAAGACAAUCAUUGUCUUGUCAACAAGAUUGUGCUCAUGGCCACUAAGCUACAUAUUCAUAUCUUUUUGGGUCCCAAGUCCCAAACUCCCAACUCUAAAAUGGUGUGAAGGGUGUAAUAGUAUAUACAGGUCCUGCUGGUUCACUUUGUUUUGUUGGUUGAAUGGGGCUUCGUCAUAGAAGUGGUGGGAGGGGAGCUUUAAGAAAAGGAAGGAGCAUAGUGUAAGUAGUGGCAUGGCACUGCAUGUCCUAUAAUAAUUUUGUCCUGUCAUGCUUAUUACAUUACAUUACAUUACAUUACACGUUUGACCUAUCUGGUUCCAUAUAAGUGAUGAAAUCCCAUAACAGAUCCCUAAAAAGAAAGCAAGCAUAUCUCCCAUAAACCCUUUAGUUCCACCAUGGACAUGAAUUGGGAAUAUAUGCAACUCUAAUUGCCGUCUUUUUCCCCAUGUUUCUAUUUGGUCCUUUAAAGGACGACUAAUUAAUUAAGAAACCACACUAGCUAUCACAACUCAGAACAGAACCCAAAGAAUUUGUUCUGCAUAUAUAGAGAAUUGUUGAAAUAUCAUAAUCAAACACAUUCCUCAAAUAGUGGACCAACUGACCCAUCCAUAAACCAACAAUACGACAAACUCAACUGUGCAAACUACAAAGUGACCCAAAACAAACUUGGAACAAACUUCAAACUUCAAACUUCAAAUUGGAGGCAAUGCACUUGGUCUGGUUCAAGAAAUGAAAGUAGAAGCAAUGAAGAAAACCCAGAAAAAUUGCAAGUGGAUGAACAAAAAGAGCCCCGAAGAAAUAAAGAAAAUUAUCUUUGCAUACGGUAAAGCAUAAAAGCAACAGAAACCCAGAAAGAAACAAGGCAGGAUUGUGUCUGAGAUAUGAUUUGAACCAAUAAACUGCAUAGGAAAAGAGAAAGCUUACUCUGGCAGAAACACAGCCAGCCAGUGCCAUGGGGACAGUGUACAUCAUAGAGGUGGUCUGAAUAAGAAUCCCGGUGGCGGCGACAGCCAGAGUUGGGUUGGGCAAAUAGCCGGCCAUGAUUGUCACAAUCUCAUACCACCACCACUCCAAACAUAUACCCAAGCAGCUCGGCACCGCCAGCUUCAACAGUGGGCCAAGUCCACCAAACACCUCUCCAAUCCCAGCCGUCCAUCUCAACACCGUCAUUCCCUUCCCCCACCACACGUACCCCGCCAUGAGCACCACCAUGUUGAGAUUCGUGAGCACCGACGCCACCGCCACCCCGGGGACUCCCAGCCCCAUUUGCUUCACCAGGACAAGAUUCAGCGGCACGUGGAAGGCCACUGCCACCAGGGUGCAGUACAUCUGCGGCUUCGUCACCUUCUGCGACCUCAGGAACACCCGCAGCGGCUGCAGCAACGUAUUCGUUAACAGGUCCGGGAGGGAGUAGAGGCAGUAAGUUGCAGCCAUGGCGGUGAUGGCUCUGUCUUGCCCCGCGAAAACCAUGAUCCUCUCGAGAUUGAGCCACAGCACGGCGAUGGGUAUUGUUGCGAGGACGAGGAUGAGCACCAUGCGCUGCAGGGACCGAGUGAGGAGGUCCCAGUUCUUGUUGCCGUAGGCUUGGCUGCAAACGGGUUCGAGGCCAGAGGCGAGACCCACCAUAACAGAGUAACCGGUGAUGUUGGUGAAACCAAUGGACAGGGCGCCUCCGGCGAGCUCCAUGCUGCCCAGCCGGCCCAGGAAUACUACCGACACCGCGGCUCGGACGAACACCAGACAGUUCAUGGCUGUUAUGGGAAAGGCCAUGCCCCAUAGCUCUCGAAGUUCUUCCAAUACCUGAAAGUUGAUUCAUGUUUUAGAGAGAAACAGAGAGGGAAACUAAAACAGAGAGAUAUCAUAUUGGGUGUUUUUUGUUUUACCUGAGAAGCACAAGGGAAUUUGUGCGAGUAGAAAUCAUCAGGGUCUUUCUCAGUUGCCAUUUCUAUUGCAUGCGCAAGGGCUACUGCUGUUAAUAGAACAACAAGCAAUCUGCAAGAUCAAAAAGGUUGAUUUGAAACAGUAGGUUAGAGAGAACCCAACAACUUGGGAAUCAAACUUGACCCAGAUUCAACAAAGCAAAUGAUUAUAAACAGCAAGAAAUUUGGGCAGAAGACUUGCUUUCUGUUAGUUCUGCUCUCGAACCCAAAACAGAAAAGGAAGAGGCUCAAAAUGUAGAGGAGGGGGAAACAAACAAAUAAAGAGGAUGGAGCAGAAAGGCAGCGAACAGUGGAAUGGGUUGGAGUGAUUUCAGAUGUCAAUCAAAGCAAAGCAAAGCACAAAGUUGGGAUUCCUUUUGGAUGAUGUGCAAUUUCACUGAAUGGAGGGAAAAAGCAGAGCAAGGCACAGGGCUAAUGACGGCCGCUAGCUUACAUAGACUGGGAGGAGACAAUAGAAAAUAGACAAGACCAGAGUUGGACUAGACUUGAAGCAGUACUGAAACGUUACAAUAAGGCACAGAGAGACGAUGGAAGGAAACAAACGCUUUAUGAAUGGGGAGGUAAAGGGCCAAGGACUACACUGGGAGAAGCAUUUUCGUUCAUGCGGGGUAGGAGAAACCAUUGUUGUACCAAUCUAAUAUAGUAAUUUUUGUGUGCCCUUAAAUACGUGUAGAAUUAUUCCGAGCAUUCAAUACUUAUUUAUAUAAAAUAUUUAUAUAAAUAGGGUGGUGAUAUUAACACAUAUUUUUUUGUUAUUAACAUAUCUUAUCUAUGAUGAUAGCCAAUCAUGAAAAUGACAAGUUUGUAAAUAAAUUUGAAAUGUGUGGAUAGUAAAAUAAAUGAGGUAUGUUAAUAGCAAAAAAAGACGUGUUAAUAGCAUCAUCCUAUAAAUAGCAUUAUUGUCAAUGAAAUUUUCCAAACGUUUAUGUAUUUUGAAGCUAUAUAUACAUAUUUUUUGAGGAGAUGAUAUACGUAUUUUGAUGAUUUAUCUAAUAUCAUUUUGUUUAAUUUUAUAAAUUUCUUAUGAAAAAAACAUAAAACUGAGCUGUUAAACGUGGAGUGUUUUUUUUUGUUGGCACGUCCUCACGCCCGGUUACAUAUAUUUUAUUAAUAACAAUAUAUUGUUGCGGGGGAACAUAAAACCUGAACCUUGAGCUACAUUAGAUAAAUAGCUAAUAUUCUCAUAGAGAACAUUGUUCAGGCAAAAUUGAUUCAUGUGUGCCCAAAAGUCCAAAACUAUGAAAAUUGGCUUGUGUUUACAUAUGAUUUUAUUACCUUCAAUCCAUGUUCUUUUGUUUGUAGGAAAUAAUGCAAUGAGAGGAAAGCACCCACUUUUUGGUUGGAAAGUGACAAAGCUAGGAGCACAAGACGUAGAAUUUGGGCGAGAAAACACAAGUUGAGAUUUUCUGACUAACUUUUCCGGUGAACUAUUCCAACGAUGUAAUACCUUGAGUUUUUGUUAUUAAUUUCUAUUAUUAUUUUGGAAAUUAUCAAGUUAGAAGUUAGCGGGAUACGUGGCUCGAGAGAAGAGCAGGAGUGUUCGGAACGAUUAUUACAUAGAAGAGGAUUUAUCAUAAGGGUCAAACAGUUGACUUUUUAUCUGUUGGGUUUCUCGUAAACUUCCUUUUUCAAAAUUGUAGAGCACGACGAUACGAGUUCGUAGACACGUGGCACGCGUGAAACGGACAUCGUAUGAGAAAGUUACAUUCAGUUAAAGUUUAGUCGUUGAUUUGAAAGGGGGUAUAAAUAGAAAUAUUUUGGGGUAUUUUCAUAAAAACCCUAACUUCAAAAAAAUCAGAUUUCUCUCCCCAUUCUCCAUUUUUUUGCCACCAAACUUAUUCCGGCCAUAACUCGGUCGUCCGGUGACGGAUUUGUGCGUGCUUGGUACCGUUGGAAAACUCUCACUCCCCUUUUUCUAUUCAUACUAGCCUCACACCCUAUGGAGCACUGUGCACGGCGCAACAAGGCCCGCAAGUUAUUGUCUUCGCCAGCGGUGAAGCUCUGACCGAUUCUGACGACAUCGAGGUUUGAGGCUACCCGUUUCUAGAAGUUCUAGCUUAUCCUUCUGAGCAUGAUGAUACCAGCCUUGGAGCCCAAUUCGAAGCGUGGAGCUUUUGGGUUCAAAGUGUACCUUGUUUCUUUCCGACGACGUUUUCGGCUGAAUUGGCUUUUGGCCACCUGUAUGAAAAGUGUUUCAUUUGAUGUGAUCUACAAGUUUGUUAUUAAGAGCUUGCCUAGAUUUUGAGGUUGUAGGGACGGCGCGUGAGGCCCACUCAUCCCGUUUGUGGUGGUGCGUGGCCGUGCAUCCGGCAGGGGUUGGGAGGUCUGUGGUAAUUGUUAGCUUCUACUCAUCGAUAUGAGCACGUUGACAUGUCAUGAGGUUAUGUUUUGAUCAAGUAAUGCAUUCUAAGUUUAAGGUUAAGUUGAAAAUCAUGUAAGGUUAAGCUAUGGAGAUCAUUUGGGUACCAAAUUAGAUUAAAUGAAUUAAUUGAACAAUAUAUUUCUAACGGAAACCGUUCGUGUAAAUCACAAUUACUGAAACUCAAUUGAACUCUAAAUUGGAUGAAACUUUGCAGGAAUAUCUACACACUAUGUUCGAGACACUGAAUGGUGGAGAUGUGAAAAUGUGACGUAAAAAUGAGUGAAAUGAGAAGCACUACACUUUAAUUUCAAAGCGGUGUCCUGCUCUGAAAGAAAACUUUAUAUAUAUAUAUAUGCCUUUUCAGAUACAAACAUCCUUAUUUAUUCAAAAUGUACGGAUUUUCUUAAUUUGACCCACUUUUCUAUCCUAAUUUCUCAUCUUAACCGUUGAAAUAGUAGGUAUAUAUGAGUAGAUCAUCUCCACAAAUUUUCAGCUAAUUUGGUGAUCGUUAAAGUAUCGAAAAUGAAUUAAAUCAAUGAACGAAUUGAAACUGUUCAACCUGAACCGUUCAUGUUCUUAGUUCUAAAUCACAGUUUUGAAUGCCUUAACGAUUAUCAAUUUGGUUGAAAAUUUGUAGAGAUGAUCUACUCAUACAUACCUAAAAGCUGAACGGUUAAAAUGAGAAAAUAUGAUCGAAAAGUGGGUUAAUUAAAUAAAUCUGUACCUUUUGAAUAAAUAAAGAUAUUUGGACUUGAUAAUAAUUAUAUAUAUAUAUAUAUGUGCUUAUCUUGUCUUGCAAAUUAUUAUUCUAUAUUUCUUGUCAACAAUUUAACCAAAUAGAUUCACCUUCUGAGCAACUGUCCUUUCUAGAUGGUCUUGUGUAAAUAAUUUUUUUACAUAUAACUAGUAUAAGCCAACAACUUAUUGUAUGAACAUGAAACAAAGAAUUUCUCACAAAGCAGAAAUGUAUAUAAUCUACUGAUAUUUUCCUCAGUAGUCAAAUGAAACUAUUCUUAAUUUGAUUGAUGUAGUUUUGAUAUUAAUUAAUUAACUGAUACAUGAACAAAGAUAUAUGAAAGUCUCUAUUUUCUUGUCUUGACCACAAGAAAAAAAGAGAAGUUUAUGUUUGAUUAGAAAAGUUGCACGGACGUAGGUAUAAGGUUUAAAGCAUCUCCAGCAGCAUUGAUAAAUUGAAAAAAAUUAGAAAUUUAUCAAUUUUUAAAUAAAUUUUUGCUCCAGCAGUAUACUUAAGAAGUUGAUAAAUUUAGAAAUUGAUAGAGAAAAUUGAUAAAUUUAUCAUUCUUUGGGAGACAAUUAACUAAAACUUAACUAAUGUAUACAAUUUAGCAAUACUAUUGGAGCAAAAGUUCAAAAAUUGCUGUUGUAAAUUUAAAUGUUGAUAAAUUUAGCAAUAAAUUUAACUCUAUUACUGGAGAUGCUCCUUUGGAAAAUCCCAUCAUGAACAAAGAUAUAUGAAAGUCUCUAUUUUCUUGUCUUGACCACAAGAAAAAAAGAGAAGUUUCUGUUUGAUUAGAAAAGUUGCACGGACUUAGGUAUAAGAUUUAUACAUAAAAGAUAAUACAUAGAGCCCCUUAGGAAAAUCCCAUCAUGAACAAAGAUAUAUGAAAGUCUCUAUUUUCUUGUCUUGACCACAAGAAAAAAAGAGUGUUUGAUUAGAAAAGUUGCACGGACGUAGGUAUACGGUUCAUACAUAAAAGAUAAUACACAGAGCCCCAUAGGAAAAUCCCAUCGGUUUACAUUUUACACACACAAGACAUUUUAUUUUUUGUCACAUCCCGACCCUUAAAUUUUUACUUUAUUUACUAGCUUGGUUAUAAUAAGAAUUUUACAGUCUCCGUCAAUGAAUUUAUAGUUUAAUUGGUCCUUAGAGGGGUUUGGAGGACGGUUAUUUUCGGAGAAUUAUUCGUAGGAGAAAAAUACGACGACGAUAAAAAUUAUAAAUUUUAGCUAGUAAAAGGUAAUUUUUAUUAGGGUAUUAUUUUUCAGGGUGUUUUAUUUUUGGAGUUGGGUUUGUUGUGGAGUGGGUUUAAGUUGGACCAGGUGUGGGAGAAGCCCAACACCCACAUACUCCUCUCUCCUCUCCCGAUUUCCCUCCCCCAAAACCUUUCCCCCCCCCCCCCCCCCGCCCUGCCAGACUUUCCUGCCGUCCGCCCACCGUUCGUCGCCGCUCUGGUCCCAAACGGUCGUCCUCCGACCCAGCUUCCAUUCUAGGCCGGUGAGAGCUGCCCAAGCUCCGCCGUGAAGGAGUUCUCUCCCCCGAAGGCCCGACUACCGUGGUGGUUCCAUCGCCGGAACUCCCUAAUCCGGCCGCCAUAACCGGCGAUUCUUGGUCCGUUGGAAAGCUCUCCUCCCGUGCAUCAAUCCCUCCACAGAGCUCACCCUCUCUUGAGCUAGGUAAGGAGAUGUGUGGAGUUGAAUUUUCUAGGGUUUUUUAGGACGUUUUAGUUCGAUUACCUUAGUUAGGCUUGUAAUUGAUGUUUGUGCUAGUUAAGAAAGUUGUAGAGGGGGUUGAGAGGAAGAUGCUGUCAAAAUCUCAUAGACAUUGGAGGUUGCCGGAGUUGGCCUCUGGCCGCCGCUGUUUGAGAGAUUUUUAUGGUUUUAAAUGUGGAAUAUUAAAGGGAGUUUAUUGAUGUGAAUUAUGGAAUUUUUGGAGGAGUUUUGGUUAGGUUUGUGAAUUUCCGAUGUUUGGUAUUUUUGGCGGUUAAUUAAUGUAGAAUCCGUCUGUAGGAUUAAAGUCGUUAAAUCUGUGGGAGGUUGUAUAACGGCUGCCAAUUUUAGUAUUAAAGUUUGGAUCGUUUCGGUUUAGGAAUAUCGAAGUUAGGCGAGAAUAAGCGUGGUUACGGCUCAUAUUUAUUUUGCCUAUUUUUGAGUAACUAUUGGAAUUUCGGUUGGGAAAUUAAUAUUCUAUUUGGAAGAGGACGUGAGGAGGCUCGAGCAGACGAGGCCCCAGAUCGACAUCAGGCUUAGGCCUAAUUUACGAGUGGACUUUUGUUUUAAAUAAUAUGCAUGCUAUGGUUAUGGUUGAACAUUUAAAUUGUUGGAGUUUUGACGUCAUUUAAUUUUGACGCUUUUAUUUCUCUUGGAGAGUUACCGAAAAAUAGAAUUUUUCGGUGAGUAUAAAUAUGUAUAUUGAAGAGAGUAUGUAUAUAAAUGCUAACUAGCCAUAUGUGUAUGUCCACAUUAAUGGCGUAGCAUAUAGCCACAUUAUGGCGUGACGUGAGCGUAGUAGCCAUAUAUGAGUGUUUAAUUCAUAUAGAGAGUAUGGACACAUAUUUAUAUACCCGUCUGUCCACUUUAAUGGCGUAGUGUAGCACCGCAUUAAGGCAUGACAUAAGCGUUGGACGCGAGCGUAGUAGCCUUAUAUAGACCCAUGAAUUUAUAUAGGGAGUAUGAACGUGUGUAAAUACAUAUAUAUAUUUUAGAGCCUGAGAGGCUCGAUAUUUUAUGAGAUUAAAGUUUUAUCGCUUGCAGCAUGCAUUCGAUUUUUCCUUGGAAAUUGAUUUGGGGAAACAUAGAUAUUUUAUUUAUUAAUUUAUCUUUGUCCACUCACUCUAACAUUUUCGAAUGUUUUUCCCUGGACAUUUCGUUUUAAAACGCCCAGUCUGCAGAGUUCGGGUUGGAUCUAGUAGAAGGCGAGGCAUAGUCACCCGCAUUUCCACCACUUUUCAUCAGUAGGUUACCUAAUUAACCUACUCGUGUUUUCCUACUUCCACUAGUGUCUAGUAGCUCUGAAUACUUUGAGAUUAAUGUAAAUUAUUUUGGUGGUGUGCUCGGUCUGUCGAUUUCUGUUUAGAGUUUCUGAAGGAUAAGGUUUACUAUUUUAGCUGGAUAUUUAUGUGAUGUUUGGAUGUUGAUGUAUUGUUGAUAUUGUGGCGGUUGUGUUUGCGGGGAGCAGAUGGCUCCAGGAGUUAAGGUUGGAUGUGUUUUAGUAGGAGUGUAAAUUUGAAAUUUUCAGGUUAGGGUUGUCCAUUUUCAAGGGAGAUUUUGCCAAUUUUUCUGUAAAUCUUUUCUUGGGAGUGGUCCCCGCAUGAUUUACUUCGGGUUUCAGGAUGAAAUUCGGGGUGAGUCUUGAUAUUUUUGAGCUAUUCGUUCAACUACAACCACAAUAAUGGUUGUGGUUAGCUCAUAAAUGAACCAAUAUAUACAUAAGUAGAAUACUCAGAACUCUAUAUAAGAACCAGUCUUCUCAUAGUUGAGACAAGUUAGUGACGGCUAACCUUGACUCCAACAUUAAAAGAUAAAAGUGACACUCAAUUCAAGAUGCCAAGACGAGUUUCUCUCUGCUCUCCCUUAUAGACACAGCCGUCUAGGGUUAGGGUUUUCAAAAGAAAAUCCCUCGUCGUUUGGUGCUUCUCUCCAUGGCAGCUUCAAUUGCUUCAAUGACAGCAAGCCUUGUCUCCAAACUCUAUCUCGGAGAUGAACCUGUGGAUCUGGGAGAUCUCAAAAACCCUUCCAAGGGCUUCGUCGCACCACGCUUCUUCUUGGUGUGAUGUCUCAACACUGCCCAUGCAGUGGUGUUUGAUGCCUUUCGUAGUGCAGUUCGCGGUAUGUGGCGCAUUACCACUCCGGUGGAGGUGCAAGCAAGAGGAGAUCGAUUCUUGUUCACCUUCUCCAAUGAAAGAGAUCUGAAUCGGGUGAAGAAAGGAGGUCCUUGGGCUUACCAACCAACAAGCUAUGAUCUUGAUCAAUGAUUACAAUGGCUUUUCUGAUAUCAUGGUUGUCCCAUUGAAUUUUGUGUGGAUAUGGGUGGAAAUUGAGGGACUUCCGGUUGCCCUGAUGACGGAGGCGACGACUAGACUUGUGGGAGAGACCAUUGGUACCGUGCUGUAAGUCGACACCCUGGGUUUGAACAGAGGUGUGGCUAGGGUUCGUAUUAUUCUACUUAAUAACCCUGUAAGAUUUGAAAGGAGAAUUAGGGUUUCCCCUGAAGAUGUUAUUCUGGUCAAGUAAGUAUAAGCGACUACUUAGCCGAUAUCGUAUUUGCUGGAUGAUUAAUCAUGGAGGAAGGUCUUGUCCAUGUGAAGCUGAAGAUGCUGUCGCUGUCCAACCUCUGGCUCCGGCAGCGCCUCUUGCUCCGGCUCCUAUGGUGUUCAGGGUCAACUCUUCUCAGGUCUUAAUCCCACCCUCUCCUUUGAUACCUUCCUUCUCUCCCCUAUUUGGAAAAGAGAAGCGUUAUGUGCAGAUCAGGGCAAUCCCAGAAUUCCCAUCUCUGGUGAAACUAGCAGGAGUGAGGUGUAUGAGGGAAGAGGAGGUCCCGAAAGUAGGGAAGCGAACCAAACAUAGCCUUGCAGUGAUCCCAUUCCAACUGGAAACAAAAGUCUUUGAGUUCGUAGUUGGUUCUGAUGGUGCUCUAGGUAUCAUGAAAAAGUCACUAAAGAAGAGGGGACGCCCAUGCGACAGCAAGAACAAAAAGAGGAACAUGGAAGUGAUAUCGAAAUCCAUGGCAUUCGGGUAUGGUGAUUCCGAGUAGGAAGCCUCUCUAAAGGCAGAGGUGGAGUAGUCGCUCCAAGGAUGGAACAAAGAUCCCUACUCAACUUAAUAGGAGGUCCCCCUUACUCAUCGACGGACAAGUACACCGUUGAGUCUCUAGGCCUCAUGUUGAUGUUUAGGUCAUCAAUUCUGUUUGUGUAGGUUCAUUGCUUUCUAGUUGUAAUCGUCUACCUUUUUGGACGGCUUUUGUGGUUUUCCCCUUUUAGUCUUAGUUUUAGGUGAAUAAAGAGUUUACUCUGAUAGCUUGUAAUGGAGUUUACUCCUGCCUGACCUAGCAAUAGUUGGUCGUAUGGCUUGAAUGUCAAUGAAGUUUAUUCAUUUUCCUCAAAAAAAAAAAAAAUCCUAUAUGGGAACCGAUAUAUGUACCAUUCUUUUUUUAGGCCGAACCCACAUAUAUAUUUUUUUAAAGAAAAAUAAGUAUAAUAUAUAAUCCAACGUUACAACCAACGAUUAUAGUGGACAAGAACUGAAGGGUUCAAUAGUAACCUAACCUUAUCCAGAAGUGUCGAUACAUCCUCACAGUCAACCUCAAGAAGAAACAACUCUUUCAAACAUUAUAUGCAAAAACUACUAGUAUAUAUGCAUAGGUAACAUCCUCAUUACAUUGACAACAAGAACUAACCGACGUUUAAAUAGUCGUAGACAUAACACCAUAACCAUGGCACACCAAUGACACGACCCCGACACCAACCUAACAAAACCCUAAAUCCUCGCUCAAAAAGUAGGUCAACACCCUCGCUUAAAGAGGAAGGACAUCUAACCAUAACAAAAAAAACAAAAACAAAAACAAAAAACAGUAAAAAGAACAUAUACCAAACUAAAUUCCAGACUCAUACUUUAACCUAUCUAGGCCGAAUAUAUGUAAAAACUACCAGCAUAUAUGCAUAGGUAACAUCCUCAUUACAUUGACAACAAGAAUUAACCGACGUUUAAAUAGUCCCUAGACACAACACCAUAACCAUGACACACCAAUGAUACGAACCCGUUACCAACCUAACAAAACCCUAAAUCCUCGCUCAAAAUCUUCGCUCAAAAAGUAGGUCAACACCCUCACUUAAAGAGGAAGGACAUCUAACCAUAACAACAAAAAAAACAGUAAAAAGAACCUAGACCAAACUAAAUUCCAGACCCAUACUUUUAACCUACCUAGGCCGAUUAACGUAGCCUUGACACAAAGAAAGGAACAACAAAAACACUUUCGUCUUCUCCCCGAUCCAAGCUGCCGUUGCACCACCGCACCACCACCAUGGCCAAACUCUACUACCACCAACAUUAACCCAUGCCACGCCCACGCUAGCUUGUAUAGCUGCCAAAGAGUCAUCCCCACAAAACCCCUAAGCCAGAGCGAAACCCAGAAUAUCCAGAUUGUCUCCGACAUCCUUAAGGUCAAGCCACUAAUUUUGACAAAGUAACCAUCAAGCACACCUGACUCACCGAUCGCUGUAAGCCGCCCUUAUCCCAGCAAGAAUCCCUGAUCCAAACAAUUCACGGCCCCCCAAAAAAUCUUUAAUGCACCGUCAUCUCAUAUCAGGAAAUCCUGGAACAUGCCUCUCUGAUCGCAUCCUUCGAUCUCAAAUAACGUCAACCCACUAGACAAUCCCGUCCGGCCACACCCAUCAGACGUUGGCAUGGCCAGAGAUGUCACAGAGCCGCGGCGCAGCCAGACAAGAGAGAACUCGCACAUUGCAAAACCCUAGUUCUGCUACUUUUCCAGAGCAAUGAGUCUCUUUCUUUUUGAACCCACAUAUUUUGUGUUGUUUAUUCCAAGGAGGAUUAAGAUGCAACAUGCCCUGUCAUGGUUGGAGUAGUGAUGAUUCGGUGGUAGGUGUUAAGUCACUCGCAAACGACGAUAUUCGGUGGUGGUUGUGUAGAGUCACAAAUCUUUUAGAUUCAGAUAUCUUGAGAAAAUUAACUGAGGGAUUAGUUUUUUUUGAUCGAAUACGUUAGAGAACUUUAUUGAAAAAAUCAUCGAUUACACGGAGGGGAUGCAAGCAAACCCUGUAACUCCCCAGGAGGGGCACCGACCCAACGGGAAGGAGAAGAGCAACUAAGAGCCAAACGAGCUAGCUUAUGCGCUACCAAGUUGGACUCCUUGAAAACAUGACUAAAAAAAGAAGAAUUAAGAGACAACAGAUCCUGUUUAAUAUCCUCAACGAUCAUGCCGAAAGCAGAAUCCUCCACAUCAGACUGAGUAGCCUUUAACCAGAUUGAGACAGUCUGACUCCAAGACNN
rnacentral:lncRNA from 1 species